UGUAAGACCUAAUAUUGCUUGGGAUUUUCCAAAGGCUUUGUAGAAAAAGCCCUUAAUUCUAUUAAUUAAAAACCUUUCACCUGUAUUUUGAUACUUGUUUAAUAAUUGCCAUGAUUCAAUUCGCUGUUAUCUUAACAAGCUAACGUGUGUAUACAUGUGUGCAAAUCUUUCAGCUAUACCCAGCCCAGGUCUUAACCGAGGCAAUGUUCCAUUCAAUUGCGGUAGGGGUAAGCGAUAUUGCGUACCUAGCCAACCACCAAAACGUUGCCCUCCUUACAAGCGUAAUUGUUAGAAGCAAGCAAAGUUGAGUGCUCAAAAAGUAUGGAGAGCUUCUGCUGUCUUUAUCAGUAUGUAAAAUGAUGAGAACUAUUUAUGUGCGGAAAAUAAAUAAAGUUCUCCAGUGGAUUCGAAGAAGCAAGCAACGUUGGGUGCUUAAAAAGUAUGGACGGCUCAUAGUGUCUUUAUCAAUGUGUAAAAUGUUAUUUUGAUAUGGGAACUAAUUAUGUGAGAAAAAUAAAUAGAGUUCUUAGUGAGUUUCAUGGUAUCUUUUGAGGUUUUAAUUUCGGGCAUUAUGCAGUCCUCUUAUUUGUAAUCUCCCACGAGAAUUAUUAAUGAAGUUCAAUUAUGCCAAACAAAAUUAAUGCUUAAUUUAACGUUUUUUCAUGUAAAAAUCAGUUUGAAAAUUAGGUUAAAUCACAAAAAUAAACACUCUCUGAAACUCUAAUACCAAAAUAAAAAUAAAAAUCAUCACAUCAUGUUUUCAUACAACAAAAAGAAAUUUCAAAAAAAUAUAUAUGUAAUAGCAUGCACUUUGGCUUUAACAACAAGUUUGUUAGAGCCAUGAGAACUAGGCCAAUAUUUCAAAAAAUUCUAAAAAAGCUUUUUGUCUUCUUUUAGUAUCUGAGAUUACGAAUUUAUACGUAAAACGUAUUCAUAAUAUUAAAAAUAUAGUUUUCAUAUAGACGUUAGAACAGUUAAGUUUUUACCCGAUAAGAUAAGGACUUCCUUACUGAGGAGGAUUUUCCUUAAACCAUAGACAGACCAACAACUAGAAAUACAAUAACACCUUAGCUUUUAUCAGACAAUCAAACAAUGCAGCUUAUCUUAGGUAAGGCAUAUUUGGGGUGCUAAUAUCUUCUCUUUGCGCAAUCAGUCCCCGUACCCGAUCUCUGAGACCAGUUAGGGUUUCUAGUGACCAAAAUACUAGGUGGCGACUCCCAUUCCAUUUUUCACUGAUAAACAACAAGAAUUUCUUGUCUCCUUUUAUUUGCCAGAUAAAGAUAUAGAUACAUCCUAGAUUUAAAGUGAAACUAUUUUCACAGCGACGCCGCACACGUACAACAUCCUUGUUCCAUAUAUUGAACACAUCAAUCUUUAGAAAACAAAAAAAAAAUCAUAAUGUUCUAAUUUUUCAUAUACGUUGUUUUCAGUUAUUUUUUUUAUUCUAAUUUAAUUAGAAUUUCUCAGAGCUCGAGAUGUACGCAGAACGGGCGGCUAAUCCCAACUGCAUACAUUAGAAAAGGAAGAAAGAAAGUUUGGAAGGUGUUACAAAUCAAAGAAAGUCUAAAAUUUAAUAUUUAAAUGGAGCUCUGCUACUAAAGUUAGAAGGUAAGUACUUUGGCAAGGAAUUUGUAACCUAUGAAACAUUUUUUAGAGCUGCGGAACACUGUCAGUGUACACAUUUUAUCUUCUCUAAAAGCAGGUUAGAAAGUAAAAAAUGGCUUGAAAUUUAAAAAGUUUUUUUAUUCAUCUAUAAUAUUGUUUUUAUCUUUUGUAUGAAUGAAUUUUAUUUUUAAAAAUAAAAAAAUUAUUUUAGAUAAUAUUUCUAAUAUGUGCAGUCGUGCAUAAUGUUUUUUUCUAUUUUAUUCUAUUCAAUCAAUUUAAUUUGUGUUUUUAUUUUUAUUAUUAUUUUUUAAAAUAAAAAUAUUAUUUUAAUAAAUGAAUUUAGCAAAUACAAUCAGGUAAAUAUCUCAUAUUUUAGGAUUAAAUAUUUUGAUGUAUGAUUCUUCACUUUUCAAGUUUUAUACAUGUAGAUGCAAUUGCAUUCAUACUUUCGAAGUUAUAAUUAACUCUAUUUUUUUGUGGUAGAUUCAAUAUGAGGUGGUAAGUUUUGAUGAUCAUGUGUGCCUUUGCGUAAAACGUUGUUACUAAUUAAUUGGGGAGGUGAAAUAGCAAAGGAAUUAAAGCACAUAACAGCAGUAAGGCAUCCAUUUACUAUGGUAUAUCACAUGCAUGCACUUAUAAAUUAACCUAACACGUUAUGUUUUGCCUAGAGACCUCUGAAGGUGGAACCUGUUACCGUUAGUCAACCAGCUAGUCUUCGGCCUUUUAUAUUAAUUCAGGAUAUCGUCUUCCACGCAUUUUUAAGCUUAAGGUCCACGAUCAAAUUUCAGUGCGCAGUGUCACGUGCAAUACCUUAGAAAAUGAUACCUCAAUUUUGUACUUAUGAAGUAUGUUUUGCUUGGAAACCUCUGAAGGUGGGGCCUGUCACCGUGAGUUAACAGCUAGUACUCUUCAGCUUUACUAAUGCUGAAUAUCGUCUUCCAUAUAUUAUGAAAGCAUAUUAUGAUCUUCCAUCAUAUGUGGAUAGAAUCCACUCUUACUUAUCAAAGGUGGCUUAGUCAAUAAUGCGAAGUAUUUGAUACGUUCGUUAAUUAUCUUGGGCACGGGAGGACUUAAUUUCAAGAAUAGUUGAAAAUCUGUUUGAAAAUUAGGUUGAAUCACAAAAUUAAACACUCUCUGAAACUCUAAUACCAUAUCAUCUUAGCUUAAGUUUCUACAUAAAACUUUAAAGCCUCUUUUAUCUCUCAAAACCAUGUUCAAACUAUUAGUUUCUAUUUGUCUGCACUAUUUCUGUUUGGUUGCCUAGAAAAAAUGGGACAGGUUAAAAAAAAUUGAAGUAUGGUAAACUGCACAGCCCUUGUUUGAGUGGGGUUUUUUCCUUUAAUUUUGUCAAAUGACAUGGAAAAGAAAGUGAUUUCUUAAUUUAUAAAGAAUCUCUCUAUUAUUUUUUAUUUUAUUUUCCAUUAAUGCAAUACUCAGUUGAACAUGUCUCUUCGGGCUGUAAUAUUAACAUGUAAUAUUUUAAUUGUUUUUUCAAUCAUUGAUUUUUAUUUCUAAUUUUCUCGGUCUUUACCAACCAAAAAAUAUUAUCAAUAAAUAGUGACUAAAAUAGCAACAUUAUUUUUUAUUGAAAAACAUCACCAUAAUUUAUCGAUGAUAUUUUUUUUUGUUAGUAUUUAAUAAUUUUCUAACAUUGACUAGAGUUUUAAAGGAUACCAAUCGUCCCACCAUAGAUGAGUGGUCUUACCAUUUCAAACGGUUUGAUGAAUUGCUUUUGUACUGUUAGAGAAUAAUAUAAAUUAUAUCUUGAGACCUCAUUUAACAUCUUAAACUUUUAGGUUGAAUUGGUUUUUUGAUAUGGUAUCAGAGCCUUGAUGACUAAGCGGUCACGAGUUCAAAUCUCACCACCCUCAUUUAUUUGAGAAAAAUUAAAGAUAAGAUAAUAUGAGCUCAAGCCCAAAAGGCUUUCUUUUGAGGGUGUGUGUUAGGGAAUAAUGAGUUGAAUUAGUUCUUUAACACGUACAAAUGUUAUAAGCUAGAGUAAUUAUCAUCGAUGUUAAGAAUAACUAUUGGGUACUUUAUGGCUCCAAAAGCUAUUGCAUAAAUGUAAUUACAUCAUUUUUAAGCAACUUUUGUACUAGUUGUUAGUAGUAUAUUGGCUCUUGCUCCGCAGCAGAUCAAUAUUAAGAAUAUAGUAAAUAUUUUAAUAGCCUUGAGUCAAGUAGCAUGCUAGACCCAAGGUGUUUAGGUCUGGCGUAGUUGUCAAACCCAAGUCUCUUGGGUCUGGAGUGGUUGUCAGACCCAAGUAGCUUGGGUUAGGCAUGGUAGCCAGACCCAAGGCGCUUGGGUCUGACAAUAACACCAGACACAAGCUACUUUUUUUUAUCUUUUCUGAGGCUAAAAGUGUUAUUUUAUUAUAUAUGAAAAUUGUAAAAACUUGAAAUACCCUUUUUUGGGAGCAUAUCCUUUUUUAUUAUUAUUUUGGGGACAAAUAAGUAUUUUUAUUGUUAUGAAUAUUGUGAAAAACCAAGAAAGUCCUUGGUCAACAGUUCUAAUUUUUGUUGACUUUAGGGGUAAAAGAGUACUUUAAUUGUGUCUCAAGCACCUUGGGUCUGACAGUCUUGCCAGACCUGCGCACAAUAAACUAGUGGGAUAAUUAUGCACUUUAGUUGUCAGGAGAGAGAAAAUAAAGAAAGAACGCAAACAAUCAAUCACCAAGGGGCAAUCCAAUCAUUAUCUGGCUACGCGCGCUAUACCAUUUGCAAGAGGGCACGACUAUGCUUCUAAUUAGAUGGUGGUUGGCCAGAUUUGACCACUGAGAAGCAUCAUACGCGUCUCCUUAAUGGCAUGGGCACUGCCCAUUUGCUAGGGCAUGAGGAACACUAGCCCGCAACUUUUUGAUUAAAAAAUAACAAGUACAUCGUGACAAUACUAUAAAAUGCGUCGUUUCAUUUAUAUAUGAUAUGGCGCCAACACGUCAACUUCCAAAUCAAUCCCCAAUUUAUCCUUUGUCCGCUCAAGUCCUCAAAUGCAAUUUUGAUUUUAAGAAUCAAUUCAAUUACAUCCCUGCCAACUUCAAUCGCCGGCCCUAUAGUUGGUCGUCUUUCCCACUUUCGUCCUUGGUUUCUGAUUUAUGCAAUUUGACUCUCAAUUGAUCAAUAAACUUUUAAUUCUUCAAUUUGGCCCCUGAUUUGGUUAAUUACAGCCCCUCUAUUUACGCGUCUUUUCUAGUUUGGUCCUUGGUUUUGGAUUUCUUCAAUUAGGUCCCUAAUUGGCCAUCAAACUUCAAUAUUUAUGCAAUUAAGCCCCUGAUUUGACCAAAUUAACUCUCAAAAAUUAUAAUUUGACCCCAUAACUUUAAUUUAUUCCAAUUAAAGCCCAAAUUGACUUAAAAAUUAAUUUUUCUUGCAAUUAAACCCUCUAUAAAUUCAAUUAAACUUUCAAUAAAUCCAAUUGAGUCUAUAAACAUCCAAUUUUGGACUUUUCUCCCCAAAUUGAAUUUUCUUUUCCAACAAGGCUCUCAUCAUUCAAGUAUAUACUGUCAAAAUUUCAAUCCUUGUAUUUUUGAACCUCCUUAAUCAAUUUUUCUGACCAUUUUCUGAGCACUCCAACCUCCUACUGUUAUUUCCAAUUUCUUCCGACCAUAUAUUUAUAUUUAUUUUUAUUAUUAUAUUUUUAUUUUUAUUUUUUGUAUGGGGACCCAAAAAUGGGUUACAACACAAACAAUCGAUCACCAGCGAUAAUCCAACCAUUAUCUAGCUACACGUGCCACACUAUGUGAAAGAGGGCACGACUACGCUUCCAAUUAGAUGGCGAUUGAUCAUAUUUGGCUACUAGGAAGAGUCCUAUGCACCUCCUUAGUGGCACGGGCACUGCGCGCUCGUUAGGGCGUGAGGAAUACUGGCCCGCAGCUUUUCAAUUAAAAAUAAUAAAUACAUCAGAUCGUGAACAUACUAAAACGCCCUCAUGGUCCUUUUAAUUACACAAACAUCCAUAUAAAAAUACCAAAAUAUCCCCGAAUGUAAAGUUUUUUUUUUUUGAAGCUAAAAGCAUUAUAUGACUGUACUUGGAAAUUGAAAAAAUCCGAAUACCCUUGUAAUAGAAAGUCAAAGAAACAUCUCGUGAAAAUAUGAGAAAUUAAAAGUAAAACGACUAUUAUAAUCUACAGUAAAAAAUCUUUUAAUCUAUAGUGAUUUCCUCACACCAUUUAGUUUUUGUUAUAAUUGAAUUGUUCUCGUGAAAAUAUUGGAAUUUAUAAAUAAUUUUUAUACAAGGUGUCUUAUAUCUAUGUAAGAAUGAGAAGUAUAAUUUAGGAUUAUCUAAGUGGUAUGGUUGAGGGUAAGUAUGUACGAAGUAAUCACAUCUAACACUAUCUUCUUUAACCAUGUUGAGCGCGACAUGACAUGAAUGGAAGAUGGUUACGUGAAUAUGCUUUUAGGGGCUGUUUAUUUUUAUUUUAUUUUUAAAAAAAAGCCAUGUUUUGUGAUUUCUUUUUAAAAAAAUAUUGUUUAAAAUUAAGUUUUUUAUAUUUUUAAAUAUGUCAAUAUCAAAAUUAAUUUUUAAAAAAUAAAAUAAAAAUAUUAUUUUCAUAUAUUUCUGAAUGAAAAGUAUUUUUAAAAAUAAUUGUUAUAUAUAACACUUAUAAACACUAUCUUAAUAUAUAAAUGACCCAGCAAGCUGAGAUUAUAUUAUGACUUGGGGUAAUCCUCAUAGUGUGGCUUGGUGAACAUGUAGGGUUUGGACAAUGCUUUCACCAUAGUGUGGCUUGACAUAAACUUAGGAAGAGUACACGAAGAUGCCUUUUGUCUAUAUGUGACUUGGAGUAUAGAAUCAUAGAUACUUCUUUUGUAUUGACUUGGAGUCAACGUGCAUGGAAGCAAGUUGAGUAUAAAAGGAUCCAGAGAGGCGAUAUUUAUGGAGUAACGUCGCCUACAAGUCUACAAUGGUGUCCUAAGGAGGCUAAAAUUAACGGUGCUGGUAAUAUUAAGUACAAAACUAAAAUGUGUGAGUUUUUUUUACCGUGUAUUCAUAUAUUAUUAUGGAUUAAAUGUGUAAACUCUUGAGGUUUUUUCUUUUAAAUUAAUGAAAAAACAUAUAUGAAUUGGAUUGAUUUUUUAUUUUAGGUUGAUUUUAGUUUUUAGAACAGUUUUUUAAAGUCAAUGAUAGAUUUAUCAUGGUUCCUAAGAUAUUUUGAAGGUAUUUUAAGUAAACAAUUUGAAAAUGAGUUUUUAGGUAAAAAAAGUUAAGCCCUGAUUUUCCAGUCAUUGUGGUGACCGGAAUAUAAGCAAAUCAAACACCUUGUCCUCUAUUUUUUUUUCAAAAAAAAUUAGGACGGAAGACAUGCUACAAAAAAAAUAAGAGCUCAAUCACGGGGGGUCUGCCACUGCAGGCUCACAUGGGGAACCUAACAAAAUGGGUGAGCCUGGCUUUUUUUUUUGUAAAUUUUUUUUUAAUUUGUUUGUUUUUUCUCUAUAUUUUUUUAUUUUUCAAAUUAUAUUUAUAAUAUGUGCAACCGCGCAUGGUGUUUUUUUCCUCUUUUAUUUUAUUCAAUCAAAUACCUUAGAAAAUGAUACCUCAAUUUUGUACUUAUGAACUAUGUUUUGCUUGGAAACCUCUGAAGGUGGAGCCUGUCACCGUGAGUCAACAGCUAGUCUUCAGCUUUAUAUAUUAAUGCAUAUUAUUAAUUAAAGCAUAUUAUUAUCUUCCAUCAUAUGCGUGGAUAGAAUGCACUCUUACUUUUCAAAGGUGUCUUAGUCAAUAAUGCGAAGUAUUUGAUACGUUCGUUAAUUAUCUUGGGCACGGGAGGACUUAAUUUCAAGAAUAUAUAGUUCCCUUCGAAUGCUGCUAAAAAUCAUGGUGGCUAUAAACAAGAGAGGUGGAGAUAUAGGAGAGCAUAACCAUGUUAGUCCCAUAUAUUUCCAAGAUGAAGGCCUUUCUUAUCGCAUGCAUUCUCUUAGCUACCAUCGUCUUCUCUCCCCUGUCCACUUGCACUGCUCGAGAAUUGGCCGAGCGAGGUGAGAUUUUAUUUCCAUCAUUAACUUCAGAAAAGCAGUUCAUUUUGUGUGCGUGUGCGUGUAGUCUCUUUGUGUAUUGCAGCGUUAAUUAACUUAAGAUAAGCAUUUCAUGUUAUAUAUUAUUUAAUUAAUCUGUCGUGGGCUAUCUUAUAUAUAUAAAAAAGAUGAUUCUGCUAUAAUAUCAGAUUAUGUCAACAUGAAUUUGCUAUAACAUGCGUGAAUCUUGCAGACGUAUCCCGGGGAGCUCUCAACCCCCAUAAACCAGUGUACGGUUGCGGAAGGGGUAAUCGAUAUUGCGUACCUAAAACACCAAGAGGUUGCCCAAAUCCUUACAAGCGUAAUUGUGGGCGCCAUUAAGAUUAGAAGCAAGCAAAGUUGAGUACUGCUUAAAAGUAUGGAGAGCUAUACUACUAUCUUUAUCAAUAUGUAAAAUGAUCAGAACUAUCUAUGUGAGAAAAAUAAGCAAAGUUCUCCAGUGGAUUAGAAGAAGCAAGCAAAGUUGUCUGCUUAAAAAGUAUGGACGGCUCAUCGUGUCUCUAUCAAUAUGUAAAAUGUUAUUUUGAUAUGGGAACUAUUUACGUGAGAAAAAUAAAUAGAGUUCUUAGUGAGUUUCAUGGUUUCUUUUGAGGUUUUAAUUUCGGUCACUAUGCAGUCCUGAUCUUUUGAGGUUUUAUUAAUGAAGGAAUCCAAAAUAAUAAUAAUAAUAAUAAUAAUAAUAAUAAUAAUAAUAAUAGGAGUGAGAAAAUGAUGUUGGAUUACCCAUAAAAUGUUUAAAAAUACAAUAAUUGAAAUUUGACAGUAUAUUUUUAACUUGUGAGAGUCAUGUUGACAAGAAAAAUUCAAUUUGAGGAAGAAAAGUUCAAAAUCAGAUGUUUAUGGACUCAAUUAAAUUUUAUCUAAGGUUUAAUUGAAUUUAUGGAGGGUUUGAUUGCAAGAAAAAUUGAUUUUUAAAGUCAAUUUAGGCUUUUAUUGGAAAAAAAAAAGUUAAAGUUCUGGGGUCCAAUUAUAAUUUUAAAGAGUUGAUUUGGUCAAAUUAGAGGCUUAAUUACAUAAUUAUUGAAGUUUGAUGGUCAAUUAAGGACUUAAUUGAAACAAUCCCGAAACCAAGGACCAAACCAGAAAAGGCGAUAACAUUAAGGGACCCAAUUGCAAUGUUUCCUGGGUUUGAUUACAAAAUUGCGAAACUUUCAAGGACCAAAUCAGAAGACUCCAAACGGCGCCGUUUCCAUUGAAGCACUACUCACUGUCUUCUCAAACAUGGCAGCUGUGGCGUUAAAGGCAGGAGACGUUAGCAGCGAUAAUGGAGCCGCUUCAAUCAGGGGGCAUGUCUCACGCCACCAUGUACGGCGGCCGUUACUUUGUUGCCAGAAAACUUCUGCAUCCUCUGGCUAUAAAAGCCAGAGGAAGGAUCGAGCAAAGGGGAGAAAAAAAGGGAGGAGAAAGCAAGGAGACAGCAGAAAAAAAAAACAGGGUGGGAAAAAAGGAAAGAGAAAAGAACAGAGGGGAAAGGAGACGAGGAGGACGCAGACACACCAGAAAAAAAGAACAGGGAGAAUAAAGAAAGGAAACAGAGGGAUGCGCACUGGGUAGCACAGGGAGAAGGAAGCAGGGGAGAGGGACUGUUGAACCUCUUUCAAAACCGCAGGAUCCGUGAUCAAGCUCAGACGAAUUGGAAAAGAAACACGAAUACCAGUAGCAAGGAAAAACAGACGAAGAGGAAGAACCAGAGGAAAAGCAAACGAAACAGGGAAGAUAUAAAUCCAAAACAUGUUGCUGUCUUCGUCUUGCUUCCAGGUAACUCCAGCUUGGCAAAAUAAUGCACAAAAUACUGUGCACUUGGAAUUAGAGGUGAUCAUUUUCGGUUCGGUUUUUAUCAAAAAAAGUAACCAAACCGAAAUUUUUUUUUUUUAAAAAAAACCGAAACCGGGUCAAACCGACCGGUUUCGGUUCGGUUCGGUUUUUUAGGGCAAAAACCGGUUCAAACCGGUUUGGCUUGGUUUUUCUGGUUUUGGCUCGGUUUUUUCCGGUUUGGCUCGGUUUUUCCGGUUUGGCUCGGUUUUGGCUCGGUUUGGCUCGGUUUUUUUUCCGGUUUUUUCGGUUUCGGUUCGGUUCAGUUCGGUUUUUUGCUUAUAAAACCGAAACCGAACCGAACCGGCCAGUUUUUUCAAAAAUUUAAUCGGUUUAAUCGGUUUUUUUUUUCGGUUCGGUUUUUUCGGUUUUUUUUUCCGGUUUUCUCGGUUUAAUCAGUUUUCCGGUUUUUUUACUCACCCCUACUUGGAAUUUAAUUACAUGGUGGCUGCAGCCAGCGUGCGUGAAGAAGUCACGCACGCUGGUGGGUAGAAUCCAGCUGGGUCACUGGUUUGGACCAGUGACCCGGCUAAGCCUGCUGGGUCCAGCCCAGCCACAUGGGCCGAGCUAGACCCAGCCCAAAAAAAUCCAAAAAUCUCUUCAAAAAAUUUAUGAUUUUCUUGUAUAUUUUUUACUGCAUUUGAUCAAUAUUGGUUUGUAUUUUUAUAAUGUAAAGAUACAAAUCCGGUAUUAAAAUACUUGGUUUUCGUCAAAACACAAAAAAGUAAUAAAUAAAUAAAUAAUGUUUUGUUUUCAUGCAUACGGCCAAGUAUCUCAAAGAAAAAAAAAUCAUAUUUUCAUAUAACAAAAAUUCAAAAAAUAGGUAUUAGUAUGCAUUUUGGCUUUAAUAACCAGUUUAUUAAAGUUACGAGAACUAGGCCAAUAUUUCAAAAAUUCAAAAAAAUUAUUUUGUUUUCUUUUAAUAUCUAGGGUUACGACCUUAUACGUAAGACGUAUUCCGGAUAUUAAAUUCUUUUGUUGAUAUUAGAACGGUUAGGUUUCACCCGAUAAGAUAAGGAUGUCCUUAUCAAGGAGAACUUUUCUUAAAUCAUAGACGGACCAACAACUAGAAAACACGACAAGACCUUAGAUUUUAUCAGACAAUAAAACAAUGCAGUCUACCUUAGGUAGGGCGUAUUUGGGGUGCUAAUACCUUCCCUUUACGCAACCAGUCCCCGUACCCGAUCUCUAAGACCAGUUAGGGUUCAUAGUGACCAAAAUACUAGGUGGUGACUCCCAUUCCAAUUUUUCCACUAAUAAAAGACAAGAAUUUCUUGUCUCCCCAUAUUUGCCAUAAUUUUAGAUAAUACAAAAUUUUGAGGGUGGAUGUUUUCGCCGCACACGUGCGACAAUUAAAGUGCCAAAGGAUACCAAUCGUCCCACCACUACCAGAAAAUCGAUAAAUACAAACAGAAAUACCGAGGGAAUAUUUUCGUCGGUGAAUUGCCGACGGAUUUUACCAAUGGAAAUAUUCCCUCGUUAUUUACUGACGGAAAUAUUCCCUCGGAAUUUACCGACGGAAUUACAGUGGGAAAAAUAAUUAAAACAAAGCAAAAAAAUGAUGACGUGCCAUUUUUACCAACGAAAUUACCGACGAAAUAAAAUAAUUGGUAAACUGUCAACACUAUUCAUCAUGUUAAUUACGAAUGGAAUCACCGAGGGAACAUUCCAUCGGUAUUUUACAGAGAGCUUUGGAACUAUUCACUUCCCAAUUGCACUGUUAAUUACUGUUCUUUACAGAAAAAAUCACCGACGGAUUGAAAAGUCGUCGAUGUUAUAUGGUGGUUUUCUGAAAAAUUUAAAUUAAAUAUUACAGACGGAAUCACUGACGGAAUGAAAAGUUAUCGGUGAUAUUUGACGGUUUCUGAAAUGUUUUUAUUAAAUUCAAAAUUUAAAUUAAAUAUUAUAGACAGAAUCACCGACGGAAUGAUUAAAAAUAUUAAUAUUUAAUUAUCCAUAAGUAAAAUUAUCGGUAAACGCCCCAAUAAAAAGCCUAGAAUCUCUAAUUUCACAACAGACCCGUCUUCUUUCUUCUUCUUUUUUUCUUCUCUCUCCUCAACUCCUUCUCUUGUCCUCCAUGCUCAGGUAUGUCUUCUUCUUCUUCUUUUCUUCUCUUCUCUCCUCAACUCCUUCUCUUCUCCCCCAUACUCAAGUAUGUCUUCUUCUCCUUUCUUAUUUUUUCUUCUCAGUUUUUUUUAAUUAGUAUACUUUACAAAUUUUUUUUUCUCUUCUUAGCUUCACUUGCAACUACAUUAAGGUAAAAAAACAUUUCUUCUUUUUUCGUGUUUUUUUCACUAUAUUUGUUUUUUAUUUUAUUUGUAAUUGCUUUUUUCUUAAUAAUUGUAUGAAUUUUGUUGUAGGAUUCAUUUUUUCAUAUAAGAUCAAUUUUUAGUUGAUUUCUUUAUAGGAUUUUUAAACUUUUUUCAUAUGAAUUUUUUUAGUUGAAUUUAUUUUUUCACGUUAUUUAUUUGUUGCAAUUUUUUUUUAUUUGAUUUUCUUCUUUUUUCCAAGAAUUUUGAGUAUUAUAGACUGUUGAUUAAUAAUUAUUUUAUAUUUUUGUAAUAUAUAUAUAUAUAUAUUAAAUAUUUUUAAAUAAUUACCGAUGGAAUUACAUACGGUUUGUUUCCGAGGAAAUUACCAAUGGAAUGAAAUAGUUUUUUUUUUGCUUGCUUUUUUCGUUAGUAAAUCCAUCUGUAAUAAUAUUUUUUUAUUACCAACGGACUUACUGACGGACAAAAAAUUACCAACGAAAGAUUAACCGAUGGAGACUUUCCGUCGGUGAUUUUGUCGGUGAGUUUUUUACCAAUGAAAUGGUAGUGCAAAUACUGACAGAAAAUUUCGUCGGUAAAUCUAAAGAUUUUGGUAGUGCACCUUAGAUGAGUGGUCUUACCAGUUGAAACGGUUUGAUGAAUUUGCUUCCAUACAAAUGUUAUAAGCUUGAGUAAUUUUAAUCGGUGUCAAGAACAACUAUUAGGUACUUUAUGGCUCCAAAAGCAAGUAAUUAUAUAAUCUUUAAGCCGCUUUUGGAUCAGUAGUUAGUAGUAGAUUAUAUAAUCUUUAAGCUGCUUUUGGAUCAGUAGUUAGUAGUAUAUUGUCUCGCACUAUGAAUUAAUAUCAAAUUUUAAAAAAAAAUGUAAAAGAAAUAUUAAGAGUAUAGAUAAUGUUUUAAUAGCCUUGGAUCAAGUAGUUAUGUCAGAUUCAAGGCUCUUAGGUCUGAAAUGGUUGUCAAACCCAAGUAGCUUGGGUCUGGUGUGGUAGCUAGAUGCAAGGCGUUUGGGUUUGGCAAAAACGCUACACGCAAGCUUCUUUUUUAUUUUUUAUGCUAAAAACGUUAUUUUACUGUAUAUGAAAAUUGUAAAAACCUGAAAUGCCCUUUUUCGGCAGCCUAUCUUAUAUAUAUAUAUAUAUAUAUAUAUAUAUAUAUAUAUAUUUGAGGCAAAGAAGUAUUAUUACUAAUACGAAUAUUGUGAAAAGCCAAGAAAGUCAUGGGUUAACAGUUCUAAUUUUUAUUAACUCUAGGGGUUAAAGAGUACUUUAACUAUGUCCUAGGUGCCUUGGGUCUAGCAGCCUUGCUAGAUUGGCAUCUAGAUCUGCAACCAUGCCAGAUCGUGUUGGGGUCUGCCACACCCACGCAUGGGUCUGGCAACCAUACUAGAUCCACGCACAACAAACAAAAUGGAUAAUUGUGUACUUUAGUUAUUAGGAGAGAAAAAAAAAAUAGAAGAAAAAACACAAACAAUCGAUCAUCAGCGGCAAUCCAACCAUUAUCUAGCUACACGCGCCAUACUAUGUGGAAGAGGGCACGACUAUAAGCUUCCAAUUAGAUGGUCGUUAGCCAUAUUUGGCUACUAGAAUGUUGUAACCCAUUUUUGGGUCCCCCCAUAAAAAUAAAAAUAUAUAGCCGGAAGAAAUUAGAAAAAUAAUAAGAGGUGGGAUCGCUCAGAAAGGAUCAGAAAAAAAUUGAUUAAGGACGUUCAGAAAUGCGAGUGAAAUUUUUUACAGUAUAUUCUUGAAGAAGGAGAGCCCUGUUGGAAGAGAAAAUUAAUUUGAAGAGAAAAGGGUCAAAAUUGGAUGUUUAUGGACUUAAUGGAAGGUUUAUUUGAGUUUAUAGAGGUUUUGAUUGCAAGGAAAAAUGAGUUUUUAAGUCAAUUUAGGCUUUAAUUGGAAGAAGUUAAAGUUCUGGGGUCAAAUUAUAAUUUUUGAGAGUUGAUUUGGUUAAAUCAAGGGCCUAAUUGCAUACAUAUUGAAGUUUAAAGGUCAAUUAGGGACUUAAUUGAGAAAAUCCGAAACCAGGGACCAAUUUGGAAAAGGCGCGUAAAUAAGAGGGGCGGUAUUGGAUUUGAUCCGGGGCCAAAUUAAAGAAAUUGAAAACUGGAGGACUGAUUUGAAAAGGGGCAGGAACUGUUCAUUGUCUUCCCCACCGAGCUGCCCGAGUGGCCGACUUCCAGGCGUGUUUUCUGCCUCGUUUGGCCCCCAAAUCCAACAAAGCAUGCACCAACAUAUCCACAUGAAACCCCUUUAUCCCGGAGAAUGGUCCGGUCGGGUCGAAAAGGUUAUAAACGGGUCCGUUCAUUGGCCCGAAGUGGCCACCUCGGGCAGUUCACAGCCUGGAGCUGCCAAAUUUGGCAGCUCGAGGUGCACACUUUGAGCCAACGGUUGAGAUGCUUCCCAACUGAAUCAAGAGCUGUAAUUUUUCCACAACGUUGACAAUAUAGCCCUCUUACACCGCCUAUAAAUAGAAUCUCUGUUGAAGACCUGGGGGGGGAGAAAUUCGGGUCCAAAGUCAGCCAAAAAAACCAGCAUCUUCACCCAAUUUCUGCAGAUUUUUCUUCUUCUUCUUUCUUCCUCUGCCACAGGAAACCGACACCGUCUUCCUCCAACUCCACCGCUGCAACCACUGGCUGAACCACCUCAUCACAGCAGCCACAACCCCUUCGGCCAAGCGAACAGCCAGAGGAAGAAGAAGCAGGGAGGAACAGAGAAGAAAACCCGAAAGGGGGAGAAGAAGGAAAAAGACCCAAAAGAGAGAGAACGGAGAGACGAUAGAGACAGGAGACAUAAAAAAUAAAAUAAAAUAAUAAUAAUAAUAAUAAUAAUAAAAAAAAAAAAAAAUUGAACAGUGUCGUUUUGACACUGUUCCUCUACCCGCCGCGCUCCAUGCCGUUGGAGCCGAACCUCGACAGUAGCACCCAAUGGCCGACCAGCCGCCGCGAGACCCGCUCCCAUGCGCAACAGCAAAAGCCACACCCACUUGCUCUAUAAAUAGCACCCAACACAGUAGAAAAAGAGGGGGGAAAACUUUUUGAAACGGAGAGAGGAAGAAGUUUAAAACGAGGAGAGUUUUGUUGAACGGGAGGGGGCUGGAAAACUAAAAGGGGAGGCGUGUUUUUGGAACGAGAAAGAGAGAGAGCACCCGAAACAGCCUCCUCUGUCAACGGAGCCCCAGACCGACCUCAUUUUCUCCUCCAUCCCAACAGCGGCAGCAACACCAGGAGCCGCACCAACGCUGCCAACGCCCUCAUCAUCUCCUCUAGCCCAGCAGCAGCAACACCAGGAGAAGAGUAGCAGCAGCAACACCAACACCAGGAGGAAGAGCAGCAGCGGCAACACCAGGAGCAGUUGCAGUAACACGCCAACUGCACCAGCAUUGCCAAACGCCACCACCAUCCUGCCUCAGUUCAUCACCUUCCUCCCACCCGGCGUUGCUGCUUGAAGAAAAAGGGAGCACCUGCCUCGCGAGCAGCAGGGGAAGAAGAAGAAGAAAACAACUGCUGUCUUCGGGCAUCCUCUCCAUUGCCAGCAGCACCAUCAAAGCUGCCAAACAACAGCAGAACCACCGCGAGAGGGAAGAGCACCGUGAGAAACAGAAGAAGAAAGGAGAAGCAGAGGAGAACAGAGUAAGGGAAAACACAGUGAAGAAAGGGAAGAAAAGCUCACCACCGUCCAAGCCAUUCUCCGGUCAGCAACCGCCAGCAGCACCGCCAUCAGAGCCACCACAGGUCAGCCCUCUGCCCCUUAUCUCGUUUUACUGUUCAUCUUCUUGCAUGCGGAACGUGCACUGUGCACGUUCUGCAAGCAAGAAAAUAAUUAGCCGGUUACUGUACAUGUGCACAGUAACCAGCUAAUUAAUUAACGGGUUGCUAUGCGUGUACAGUACCCCGGUUACUAUGCGUGUACAGUACCCCGAUGUACAGUGACCCCGUUUACUGUUGUUUUGGGCUGGAACCCCAGCCCAGCCCAUGCUGCUGGGCUGAGUCCAGCCCUGUAGAAAGUAGACCCGUUUUAUUUUGGGCCGAUUUCGGCCCAGUCUCCUUUCGGGCCGGGUCUGGCCCAUUCGAACAAAAAAAUUCUUCAAAAAUUAUUUCAAAAAAAAUGUGAUUUUCUCUAAAUUUAUUACUGUAUUUUGAUCAAUAUCGGUUUGUAUUUUUAUACUGUAAAGAUACAAAUCCGGUAUUAAAAUACCCGGUUUUCGUCAAGACAAAAAAUAAAAUAAGUUAAAAAUGUUUUGUUUUCGUGCAUACGGCCUAGUCUCUCCAACAUAUAUAUAUAAAUAUUAUAACAUCAUAUUUUCACACAACAAAGGAAAUUUCAAAAAAACAAUAUAUGUAUUAGCAUGCAUUUUGGCUUUAAUAACCAGUUUAUUCAAGCCAUGAGAACUAGGCCAAUAUUUCAAAAAUUCUAAAAAAUCUUUUUGUCCUCUUUUAGUAUAUGGGAUUAUGAAUUUAUACGUAAAACGUAUUCCUGAAAUUAAAAAUAUGUUUUUUACAUAGACAUUAGAACGGUUAGGUUUUUUACCCGAUAAGAUAAGGACCUCCUUAUUGAGGAGGACUUUUCUUGAACCAUGGACGGACCAACAACUAGGAAACACAACGAGACCUUGAAUUUUAUUAGACAAAUGAACAAUGCAGCUUACCUUAGGUAGGGCGUAUUUGGGGUGCUAAUACCUUCCCUUUACGCAACCAGUCCCCGUACCCAAUCUCUGAGACCAGUUAGGGUUCCUAGUGACCAAAAUACUAGGUGGCGACUCCCAUUCCAUUUUCCACCAACAAAAGACAAUAUUUUCUUGUCUCCCCAUAUUUGUCAGAUAGAUACCAUACACCACUUCCUAGAUUUUAAAGUGGAAAACUCGCCGCGACGUCGCGCACCGUGCGACAGAAUGGCGACUCCACUGGGGACCUUGUGGACUAAGCUUUGUUUUUGUUUGAUUUGUUUUUUGUUCUCUUGUGUUUUUAAUAUACCUUUCCUUUUGUUAUAUGCUUAUAUGCUUUAAAUAUUUUUACACAUAUUGUUCAUGCAUUUGUAUAGAAUUAUCACAUGCAUCACAUACUUUGAUUUGGAGAAGCACACACAAGCUUUAAGUUAGGUGGGGGAUUAGCGAUUUGCCCUAUGACUAUUGGUCAGGGUUCAGAUGCGUGAAACACCCAACUCAUAUCUGAGUGCCUGCUUGGUAAUGGUGGGUAUACGUACUUUAACCGUUCCUUGCGACGCCCCCAUACUGUCUUUACGAAGAACGUCACUGGGCAGAUAUGAGACCCUUUUAAAGACCAGAUAGAAAACCUACCCAUUCUCACCUAUAUAAAUAGAACUUGUCCUUAGGAUAUCUAUCUUACGUUCAUUUGCAUCAUGAUUAAUAAUUCAUCAAUCCAGGUUUUUAAGCCGAAAUCUUGCCUAAAGGAUUACGAAAGUCAUGAAUCGACUUUAAGAUAUACAUUUGCACGAGCAUCAUAUUUGUUUUUAAUUCAUCAUAUGCACGACAGAUCGUGAAACAUAGGUCCCACAUCCAAAGUCCACAACACCCGGUCUAGAUCGAGAAUGGAGAACGAAGAAAGAGCUCACUUAGAGUCACAUUAUCAGACCGAGUUGGAGUCCGUAAAAAAUGAAGUUUCUCGACUAACCGACUUACUCGAGCAGCUUUUAAGAGCUAAGAAUGGGGAGGGAACAUCAGCACAACAACCUGAAGGAGCGCCAGCAGCUCACAUCCCUCAAGCAUCUCAAAACCAGGGGGCAAACUCGGCCAAUGAACAACAUUUUGUGCCUGUCGCCCCUAUCCAGCCAACUCAUUCUCCAGUCACUGUGGACUUAACAGCGGAGGGAAUCCCGGAUAAUAAGUCUCCCGGUUUGAUGGACCAAGACAAGCUGUCUGCUUUGGAAGAAAGAUUACGGGCAAUUGAGGGUAAUGAUUGGUUUGACCCUAUGCGAGCAGCCGAAGUAUGUUUAGUACCAAACAUCGUGGUGCCAAAAAAUUUUAGGAUACCAGAGUUCAUUAAGUAUACUGGUUUGGAAUGCCCAAACACUCACCUUCGAUCCUACUGCAACAAAAUGGCAGAAGUAAUCCAUGAUGAUAAAUUGCUAAUCUAUUUCUUUCAAGAUAGCCUAGCAGGAUCCGCUUUGAGCUGGUACAUGAGGUUAGACAGUGUCAGGAUUAGGAGCUGGAGAGACUUGGUGGAGGCUUUCCUUAAACAGUACAAGUUUAACAUGGAAAUCGCUCCUGAUCGAACAAGUCUAAUGUCAAUGGAGAAAAGGAGCCAAGAGUCGGUAAGGGCCUAUGCGCAAAGGUGGAGAGAUGAGGCAAUGCAUGUCCAACCCCCUUUGAUAGAAACAGAGAUGGUGACCUUGUUUGCCAAUACCUUUAAAGCACCAUAUUAUGAGCACCUAAUGGGUAGCUCAUCUCAGCAUUUCUACGAUGCGGUACGCAUAGCUGAAAGAAUAGAGCAAGGGAUUAAAGCUGGACGUAUAGCUGAGCCAUUGGAGACAAAGGGUUUUAUUGGAAGAAAAAUGGAAGGUCACAUUUACGACUUUGAAGGUGGGUCCAAGGGCAAUAUAGUGGAUUCACUCAACCCACAAAUACCUACCCCUCAUGUUGCCCACAUAAACUUUAACAAACCAUUUUCCUCUAAUCGAGCAAAUAACCAGUCAAACAACCAAAACAACUACCAAAGACCAAAUACAAGGUACAUCUCAGAACAACUACCGCCAUUACCCAUGCCUUUGAAGGAAAUGUAUGCCAAACUACUGAGCAUUGGACAAAUAGCUCCUAUCCCUACAUUACCACUACAACCACCAUUCCCCAUCUGGUAUAAGCCCGAGUUGACUUGCGAGUACCAUGCUGGUAUUCCCGGACAUUGUCUUGAAACAUGCUACGCUUUCAAGAACAUGUUGUUGAAGCUCAUCAAGAUAGGAUGGGUGUCGUUUGAAGACACACCCAAUAUCAAUUCAAAUCCAUUGCCUGGUCAUGAAAAAAGUAAUAGGGGAUAAAGGGUUGGAAAACCUUGGUCAAGAAUCGUCAAUAAUGAAGAAGGCGAGAUCGAAGGAGAAGACAAGGAAACGCAAGUGGGGAAGGAAGAUGAAGCAUUGCCUCGGUUGACUUUACAGAACGGGUUGACCAAGAACUUCUCGUAGUUUUCAAAAUGUAAAACAACUUUAUUUGCCUUAGCAUGUUUUUGUCAUUUGCUUUUGUCAUUGCUUUUAUUUUCUCUAUUGGGCAAUCAGGGCUCAUGUUUUCAGCCAGAUUUUAUGUUUGUCUUUGAGCCUACCUUUUUUUAAUAAAUGAUGAGAUUAUGCACUUUUUAAACAAGGUUGAGUGAUUACAAAGAAUGUAUCAUAAAACGGUUAAAAAUGAAAUUUAAGAAAACAAACCAAAGUUAACCUUGAAGUACAACCCUGCCUUUGGAUAGCAUAAUAAAUUGAUCAAUCACCUGUAAGUUUCUUUCAAGAUAAAAACAGAGUUUAUCAAUCUUAACAAUGUGCAUUUUGAAAUGAAAAAAAAAUUUCAUUAUCCCUUCACUCUCUAAAGAGUAUAUCGUUGGUGGUCCCGUUUGAGCCGAAAUGAUUUUCUUCUUUAUAAAAACAUGGAAUAGGAUCACACCCCACACUGGGGGCAAUAAAAGAUAUUUCAUGAAAAGUUUUAUGUGAUUUUAAAACGGGAUGAGAGCCCGUAGAUUUGAAAACCAAGCUAAAACAUUUGACAAAAGCAUGACAAAGAGGCAAAUACAAGUCAUACAUUUUGAGAAAAGGACUACUUGAAAGACUUCUUCUCCAAGAAUAUGAUAGGCAACACGAGAGAUGAAUUCAGCAUAUGACUUCAAAAGUAAAGCUCAUGUUAAGAGGGAGUCUCAUGAACUAGAAGAAGAGGAUGGGGCCUAUGUUUCAAAACCAGGUACGAAUGCAUGCAUUGCAUCUAAUCAUAAAUCAUUGCAUGUAUGUUUUUUUGGAUCGUUACAGAAGGAGAUCUUAGCGCAUUUCAACAAGAUUAUGGACGAAGAAAGAAUCAUUGAGUUGAUUCUAGAACAACAAGAAGAGAAGAUAAUGGUUUUCAAACCAUGCCAGCAGGAAGAACGACAUCGAUAGCAUUCGGUAGAAAGGAAUCGCCAAAUGGGAUUCCAAGUUGUUGAGAUCGCUAGAAGGGAUCUCGUAUUUCGAUGGAGGUCGCCAGAAGGGACCUUAAAUUUCAGCUUUUGUAUAAAAGGAAUCGCCAGAUGGGAUUCCAAGUUGUUUGGAUAAAGGAGAUCGCCAAAAAGGAUCUUGUAUUUCGAUGAAGGUCGCCAGAAGGAACUUCAUGUUUUAGCUUUGGUAAAAGGGAUUGCCCGAUGGGAUUCCAAGUUAUUUGAGAUCACCAGAAAGGAUCUCAUACUUCGACAUUCAUCAAGAAAGGUCGCUAGAAGGGACCUCGUAUUGAAACUAUUUCUUAGAAAAGCAUGGAGUUUACUAAGAAUUCUUCCCCUUGGGUAGGUCACCCAUACAAUGAGACCAUCAUUUUUCUUGGGUAGGUCACCCAUACAAUGAGACCAUCAUUUUUCUUGGGUUCGUCACCCAUACAAUGAGACCAUUAUUUUUCUUGGGUUCGUCACCCAUACAAUGAGACCAUCAUUUUUCCUGGGUUCGUCACCCAUACAAUGAGACCAUCAUUUUUCCUGGGUAGGUCACCCAUACAAUGAGACCAUCAUUUUUCCUGGGUAGGUCACCCAUACAAUGAGACCAUUCUUCAUCUUUUUUUACCUGGGUAGGUCACCCAUAAUAAUGAGACCACUCUUUCCUUUUCCCAUUCGGGCAGGUCAUCCGUCAUAAUGACACCACAUACGUGUUUUUGUAUUUGGUUAUGGGUAAAGGAAUCGCCAGAUGAGAUUCCAAGUUUUUGGGGUUAAAGGAGAUCACCAGAAGGGAUCUCGAGAUGACUAAAUUUUGAUCAUAGUUUAUGGGAUUCCAAGUUGAGGGGGAUUGCUAUAAAAGACAAGUUUCAGAUCAAUCAAGCUUCAACCAAAUCAGUUUCGGGAGUUCCGUUUUGGGUUUAUCUUUAUAAAACUUACUGCGCAAAACCUCUGCUCCGUAAGCAUUAUAAAGAGGGGGCAUCUGUUGUAACCCAUUUUUGGGUCCCCCCAUAAAAAUAAAAAUAUAUAGCCGGAAGAAAUUAGAAAAAUAAUAAGAGGUGGGAUCGCUCAGAAAGGAUCAGAAAAAAAUUGAUUAAGGACGUUCAGAAAUGCGAGUGAAAUUUUUUACAGUAUAUUCUUGAAGAAGGAGAGCCCUGUUGGAAGAGAAAAUUAAUUUGAAGAGAAAAGGGUCAAAAUUGGAUGUUUAUGGACUUAAUGGAAGGUUUAUUUGAGUUUAUAGAGGUUUUGAUUGCAAGGAAAAAUGAGUUUUUAAGUCAAUUUAGGCUUUAAUUGGAAGAAGUUAAAGUUCUGGGGUCAAAUUAUAAUUUUUGAGAGUUGAUUUGGUUAAAUCAAGGGCCUAAUUGCAUACAUAUUGAAGUUUAAAGGUCAAUUAGGGACUUAAUUGAGAAAAUCCGAAACCAGGGACCAAUUUGGAAAAGGCGCGUAAAUAAGAGGGGCGGUAUUGGAUUUGAUCCGGGGCCAAAUUAAAGAAAUUGAAAACUGGAGGACUGAUUUGAAAAGGGGCAGGAACUGUUCAUUGUCUUCCCCACCGAGCUGCCCGAGUGGCCGACUUCCAGGCGUGUUUUCUGCCUCGUUUGGCCCCCAAAUCCAACAAAGCAUGCACCAACAUAUCCACAUGAAACCCCUUUAUCCCGGAGAAUGGUCCGGUCGGGUCGAAAAGGUUAUAAACGGGUCCGUUCAUUGGCCCGAAGUGGCCACCUCGGGCAGUUCACAGCCUGGAGCUGCCAAAUUUGGCAGCUCGAGGUGCACACUUUGAGCCAACGGUUGAGAUGCUUCCCAACUGAAUCAAGAGCUGUAAUUUUUCCACAACGUUGACAAUAUAGCCCUCUUACACCGCCUAUAAAUAGAAUCUCUGUUGAAGACCUGGGGGGGAGAAAUUCGGGUCCAAAGUCAGCCAAAAAAACCAGCAUCUUCACCCAAUUUCUGCAGAUUUUUCUUCUUCUUCUUUCUUCCUCUGCCACAGGAAACCGACACCGUCUUCCUCCAACUCCACCGCUGCAACCACUGGCUGAACCACCUCAUCACAGCAGCCACAACCCCUUCGGCCAAGCGAACAGCCAGAGGAAGAAGAAGCAGGGAGGAACAGAGAAGAAAACCCGAAAGGGGGAGAAGAAGGAAAAAGACCCAAAAGAGAGAGAACGGAGAGACGAUAGAGACAGGAGACAUAAAAAAUAAAAUAAAAUAAUAAUAAUAAUAAUAAUAAAAAAAAAAAAAAAAAAUUGAACAGUGUCGUUUUGACACUGUUCCUCUACCCGCCGCGCUCCAUGCCGUUGGAGCCGAACCUCGACAGUAGCACCCAAUGGCCGACCAGCCGCCGCGAGACCCGCUCCCAUGCGCAACAGCAAAAGCCACACCCACUUGCUCUAUAAAUAGCACCCAACACAGUAGAAAAAGAGGGGGGAAAACUUUUUGAAACGGAGAGAGGAAGAAGUUUAAAACGAGGAGAGUUUUGUUGAACGGGAGGGGGCUGGAAAACUAAAAGGGGAGGCGUGUUUUUGGAACGAGAAAGAGAGAGAGCACCCGAAACAGCCUCCUCUGUCAACGGAGCCCCAGACCGACCUCAUUUUCUCCUCCAUCCCAACAGCGGCAGCAACACCAGGAGCCGCACCAACGCUGCCAACGCCCUCAUCAUCUCCUCUAGCCCAGCAGCAGCAACACCAGGAGAAGAGUAGCAGCAGCAACACCAACACCAGGAGGAAGAGCAGCAGCGGCAACACCAGGAGCAGUUGCAGUAACACGCCAACUGCACCAGCAUUGCCAAACGCCACCACCAUCCUGCCUCAGUUCAUCACCUUCCUCCCACCCGGCGUUGCUGCUUGAAGAAAAAGGGAGCACCUGCCUCGCGAGCAGCAGGGGAAGAAGAAGAAGAAAACAACUGCUGUCUUCGGGCAUCCUCUCCAUUGCCAGCAGCACCAUCAAAGCUGCCAAACAACAGCAGAACCACCGCGAGAGGGAAGAGCACCGUGAGAAACAGAAGAAGAAAGGAGAAGCAGAGGAGAACAGAGUAAGGGAAAACACAGUGAAGAAAGGGAAGAAAAGCUCACCACCGUCCAAGCCAUUCUCCGGUCAGCAACCGCCAGCAGCACCGCCAUCAGAGCCACCACAGGUCAGCCCUCUGCCCCUUAUCUCGUUUUACUGUUCAUCUUCUUGCAUGCGGAACGUGCACUGUGCACGUUCUGCAAGCAAGAAAAUAAUUAGCCGGUUACUGUACAUGUGCACAGUAACCAGCUAAUUAAUUAACGGGUUGCUAUGCGUGUACAGUACCCCGGUUACUAUGCGUGUACAGUACCCCGAUGUACAGUGACCCCGUUUACUGUUGUUUUGGGCUGGAACCCCAGCCCAGCCCAUGCUGCUGGGCUGAGUCCAGCCCUGUAGAAAGUAGACCCGUUUUAUUUUGGGCCGAUUUCGGCCCAGUCUCCUUUCGGGCCGGGUCUGGCCCAUUCGAACAAAAAAAUUCUUCAAAAAUUAUUUCAAAAAAAAUGUGAUUUUCUCUAAAUUUAUUACUGUAUUUUGAUCAAUAUCGGUUUGUAUUUUUAUACUGUAAAGAUACAAAUCCGGUAUUAAAAUACCCGGUUUUCGUCAAGACAAAAAAUAAAAUAAGUUAAAAAUGUUUUGUUUUCGUGCAUACGGCCUAGUCUCUCCAACAUAUAUAUAUAAAUAUUAUAACAUCAUAUUUUCACACAACAAAGGAAAUUUCAAAAAAACAAUAUAUGUAUUAGCAUGCAUUUUGGCUUUAAUAACCAGUUUAUUCAAGCCAUGAGAACUAGGCCAAUAUUUCAAAAAUUCUAAAAAAUCUUUUUGUCCUCUUUUAGUAUAUGGGAUUACGAAUUUAUACGUAAAACGUAUUCCUGAAAUUAAAAAUAUGUUUUUUACAUAGACGUUAGAACGGUUAGGUUUUUUACCCGAUAAGAUAAGGACCUCCUUAUUGAGGAGGACUUUUCUUGAACCAUGGACGGACCAACAACUAGGAAACACAACGAGACCUUGAAUUUUAUCAGACAAAUGAACAAUGCAGCUUACCUUAGGUAGGGCGUAUUUGGGGUGCUAAUACCUUCCCUUUACGCAACCAGUCCCCGUACCCAAUCUCUGAGACCAGUUAGGGUUCCUAGUGACCAAAAUACUAGGUGGCGACUCCCAUUCCAUUUUCCACCAACAAAAGACAAUAUUUUCUUGUCUCCCCAUAUUUGUCAGAUAGAUACCAUACACCACUUCCUAGAUUUUAAAGUGGAAAACUCGCCGCGACGUCGCGCACCGUGCGACAAGAAAGUGUCAUAUAUGCCUCCUUAAUGGCGUGAGGAACACUGACCCGCAGCUUUUCAAUUAAAAUAAUAAAUACAUCAUGAAAAUAAUAAAACGCCCCCAUGGUCCUCUUAAUUACACAAAUAUCCGUAUAAAAAUACCAAAAUACCCCUAAAUGCAAAGUUUUUUUUUUCUGAGGCUAAAAGCGUUAUAUGACUGUACUUGGAAAUUGAAAAAAUCCAAAUACCCUUGUAAUAGAAAAUCAAAGAAACAUCUCGUGAAAAUAUAAGAAAUUAAAAGUGAAACUAUUGUUAUAAUCUACAAUAAAAAAUCUCUUAAUAUAUAGUGAUUUUCUGACAUCAUUUAGUUUUUGUUAUAAUUGAGCUGUUCUCGUGAAAAUAUUGGAAUUUAUAAAUAAUUUUUAUACAAGGUGUCUUAUAUCUAUGUAAGAAUAAGAAGUAUAAUUUAGGAUUAUCUUGAGUGGUAUGGUUAUGUACUAAGUAAUCACAUCUAACAGACUUUCUUCUUUAACCAUGUUGAGCGCGAUAUGACAUGAACGGAGGAUGGUUACAUGAAUAUGCCUUUACGGGCCGUUUAUUUUAUUUUUAAUUUUUUUUUGUAAAAACUGUGUUUUAUGAUUUUUUUUUUUAAAAAAAUUAUUGCUUGAAAUUAAUUUUUUUAUGUUUUUAGAUUUGUUAAUAUCAAAAUUAAUUUUUAAAAAAUAAAAUAAAAAUAUUAUUUUCAUGUAUUUCUGAAUGAAAAAUAUUUUUAAAAACAAUCGCUCUCACAUUUACGAACAAUAUUUUAAUAUAUAAAGGACCCAGCAAGUUGGAUUAUAUUUUGACUUGGGGUAAUCCUCAAAGUGUGGCUUGGUUAACCUGUAGGGUUUGGACAAUGCUUUCACUCAUUGUUAUUAAACCCGGCCCGGCGGGUCGACCAGAGACCCAGUCGACCCGGUAGCUGGACCGGUCCGGGUUUAAUAAAAGAUUGGCUGGGGUAAUAGCCAGGCCAAACCCGGGCGACCCGGCAUGUCGAUCCAUGACCCGAGUGACCCGAGCGAACCCGAACGAGACCGGGUGUUUUUUUUUUUCAAAUGUGAGAUUUCAAACCCAUUAGUAUAUAUACUUUAUGUUUCCAAGAAAAAAGUCAUGUUUUUUCAAUGUGGGAUAAAAAAAAACUUUUUGGUUUAAAUACUUCAACUUAAAAGGAUAACAUAGUAUCUUUUCAAUGUGGGAUUUGAAGCUCUUUCGUAUAUAUACUCUAUGUUCCCAAGAAAAAAAUCAUGAUUUUUCAAUGUGGGAUAAAAAAACUUUUUGGUUUAAAUAUUUCAACUUAAAAGAAUAACAUAGUAUCUUUUUAAUGUGGAAUUUGAAGUCCUUUCGUAUAUAUACUCUAUGUUCUCAUGAAAAAAGUUAUGUUUUUUCAAUGUGGAAUUUGAAACCCCUUAGUAUAUAUACUCUAUGUUCCCAAGAAAAAAAAUCAUGUUUUUUCAAUGUGAGAUAAAAAAACCUUUUGGUUUAAAUAUUUCAACUUAAAAGGAUAACAUAAUAUCUUUUCAAUGUGGAAUUUGAAGUCCUUUCGUAUAUAUACUCUAUGUUCCCAUAAAAGAAGUUAUGUUUUUUCAAUUUGAGAUUUGAAACCUAUUAGUAUAUAUACUCUAUAUUCCCAAGAAAAACGUCAUGUUUUUUCAAUGUGGGAUAAAAAAAAUUUGGUUUAAAUACUUCAACUUAAAAGUUUAACAUAAUAUCUUUUUAAUGUGGGAUAAAAAACUUUUUAAAAUAUUAUUUUAAACUUCAUUAUUUACAAUAUGUGUAACCUAUAUUUACAUGGAUUUUUUUCAUAUGAAAUAUUAAAAUUUUAAUUUUUUCGGGUUGAUCCGGGUUAACCCGAGUUGAUCCAUAAAACCCGGAACCCGGCCCUUUAGCCGGCUCAACCCCAAGCCGGGUUUAAUAACUAUGCUUUCACCUUGGCAUCAACUCAGGAAGAGUAGACGAAGAUGCCUUUCGUCUAUAUUUGACUCGGAGUAUAGAUAAUUCUUUUGUAUUGACUUGGAGUCAACGUGCAUGGAAGCAAGUUGAGUAUUUAAGGAUCCAGAGAGGCGAUAUUUAUGUAGUAACGUCGCCUAGAAGUCUACAAUGGUGUACUAAGGAGGCUAAAAUUAACGUUGCUGGUAAUAUAUUAUUAUGGAUUAAAUGUGUAAAAUCUUUAGUUUUUUUUUUCAAUUUGGUUUUUAAUUUAUUUAUUUUUUAUGAUUUAGUCCUGAAUGUGUAAAAUCUUCUCAAUUAGGUGUUUUUUUAACCUUUAAAGUUCAUAAGAAAAACAUAUAUAAACUCGGAUUGAUUUUUAGUUUUGGGUUGAUUUCCGUUUUUAUAACGGUUUUUUGAGCUCAAUGAUAGAUUUAUCAUGGUUUCUAAGAUGUUUUGUAUGUAUUUUAAGUAAACAAUGGGUUGAAAAUGGGUUUUUGGGUCAAAAAAGUUAAUCCCGAUUUUUUCAGCCAUUGUGGUAGCCGAAAUCUAAACAAAUCAAACGACUCGUCCUCCAUUUUUUUUUUUCAAAAAAAAUUGGGACAAAUGACAUUCUACAAAAAAAAAAAAAAGAGUUAAAUCACGGGGGGCCUGCCAGUGCAGGCUCGCAUGUGGAACCUAACAAAAUGGGUGAGGCGUCCAAACCCAACACAGAGUUUGGCCUUUGUUUUUUUUUUUGUAAAUUAUUAUUUUUUAAUUUUUUUUUAAAUUAAUGAUUUUUUUUCUCUAAUUUUUUUUUUCAGAUUAUCAGAUUAUAUUUAUAAUAUGUGCAACCACGCUUGGUGUAUUUUUCCUCUUUUAUUCUAUUCAAUCAAUUUAAUUUGUAUCUUUAUUUUUAUUAUCAUUUUCUUUAAUAAAAAAAUUAUUUUGAUAAAUAAAUUUAGCAAAUAUAAUCAAAUAAAUUUCUUAUAUUUUAGAAUUAAAUAUCUACAUCAACACCUAACUCUUAAUUUUCAAAGCUUUAUACUUUUCGCAGCUUUAUACCUUAGAAAAUGAUACCUCAAUUUUGUACUUAUGGACUCUGUUUUGCUUGGAAACCUCUGAAGGUGUAGCCUGUCACCGUGAGUCAACACCUAGUCUUCAGCUUUAUUAAUGCAUAUUAUUAAUUAAUGCAUAUUAUUAUCUUCCAUCAUAUGUGGAUAGAAUCCACUCUUACUUUUCAAAGGUGGCUUAUUCAAUAAUGCGAAGUAUUUGAUACGUUCAUUAAUUAUCUUGGGCACGUGUGGACUUAAUUUCAAGAAUAGUUCCCUUCGAAUGCAUGCUGCUAAAAAUCAUGGUGGCUAUAAAUAGCUAGGAGCGGUGGAUAGGAGGAGAGCAUAACCAUUUUAGUCACAUAGAUUUCCAAGAUGAACUCGAAGGCCUUUCUUAUCGCAUGCAUUCUCUUAGCUACCAUCGUCUUCUCUCCCCUAUCCACUUGCACUGCUCGAGAUUUGGCCGAGCGAGGUGAGAUUUUAUUUCCAUCAUUAACUUCAGAAAAGCAGUUCAUUUUGUGUGCGUGUGCGUGUAGUCUCUUUGUGUAUUGCAGCAUUAAUUAACUUAAGAUAAGCAUUUCAUGUUAUAUAUUAUUUAAUUAAUCUGUCGUGGGCUAUCUUAUAUAUAUAUAAAAAGAUGAUUCUGCUAUAAUAUCAGAUUAUGUCAACAUGAAUUUGCUAUAACAUGCGUGAAUCUUGCAGACGCAAGUGGAUCAAACAACCCCCAUAAACCAGUGUUCGGUUGCGGAAGGGGUAAGCGAUAUUGCGUACCUAAAACACCACCACCAUGCAGAAAUCUUUACAAGCGUAAUUGUUAGGAGCAAGCAAAGUUGAGUGCUUAAAAGUAUGGAGAGCUUCUGCUGUCUUUAUCAGUAUGUAAAAUGAUCAGAACUAUUUAUGUGAGAAAAAUAAAUAAAGUUCUCCAGUGGAUUCGAAGAAGCAAGCAAGGUUGUGUGCUUAAAAAGUAUGGACGGCUCAUAGUGUCUUUAUCAAUAUGUAAAAUGUUAUUUUGAUAUGGGAACUAUUUAUGUGAGAAAAAUAAAUUAAGUUCUUAGUGAGUUAAUUUCAUGGUAUCUUUUGAGGUUUUUAUUUCGGUCAUUACGCAGUCCUCUUAUUUGUAAUCUCCCAUGAGAAUUAUUAAUGAAGUUUAAUUAUGCCAAACAAUAUGUUUAAUUACUUGUUUUUCCUCAAAUAUCAAGUUGAAAUCAAAUAUAUAUAUAUAUAUAUAUAUAUAUAUAUAUAUAUAUAUAUAUUAAAAUAAAAUAAAACUUAACCAGGGAGAGCAUAGCUUUAGCUACAUAGAUUGUAGGUCAAGCCUCAGUUUAACUACAAGGGAGAAAAAUAAGGAAUAAACAGCCCAACUAAUGAAACAACAACACAAAAAUCCAAACAAAAUCAGAAUUUAAACGGAUCAAGUCAAAAUACAUUCAUAAUAGCUAUAUAGAUCCGCACCUGUAUACUAGAAUAAAAAAUUCAGAUUUCUGAUCGAAGCUGCAGCAAAUAAAUUAGAACAAAUGUCAUAUAUUUCCAAGAUGAAGGCCUUUCUUAUCGCAUGCAUUCUCUUAGCUACCAUCGUCUUCUCUCCCCUAUCCACAUGCAGUGCUCGAGAAUUGGCCGAGCGAGGUGAGAUUUUAUUUCCAUCAUUAACUUCAGAAGAACAGUUCAUUUUGUGCGUGCGUGCGUGUAGUCUCUUUGUGUAUUGCAAACAAUUUCAUGUUUUGUAUGUAUUUAUUGUUUAAUUAUUCUGUCGUUGGCUAUCUUAUAAUAAUUAAAAAAAAAAUGAUUCUGCUAUAAGAUCGUCGAUGGAAAGACAAUUGCAUUAGCGAUUCCAUCAAUGAUUAUUAACCACAACAAUUAGAUAGUUCAUAAUCAACCACAACCACGUAUUUACACAUCUACAAAAAUAAUAAAACUUAUACAAAUUUCAUGAUUCAUUUAAAUAUGGCUCACAACAAUGAGAUAAACAAAAAUUACCAUAACCCAUCUUUACCUUACAUACUAUAUAUGUUUGUCUUAAUAAUUAGAACACUAUAGCAUUUAACAGUUUUACCGACGGACUGCAUCAGUCGGUGUGAGAUUAACAUUUCGUCGGUAAUUUUUUUACCAACUAAAUCCCCGACAGAAUCCGUCCGUCAGCAUAGUUUUCGUCGGUAAAUUCCACAUUCUGUCUCUAAUUCUAUCGCUAAAAAAAUGAAAUGCCGAUGGUUUACAGACGGAACAUGCGUGCCAAAAAAAAUUCUCAUUGGAAAUAUACCGACAAAAAUAUUCUGUCGGUGAUUGUGGCAUAUGAAGUAAAUAUUUUUUAACUCUCGGUGAAAUGCCGACAGACUGCAUCCAUAUGUAGAGACGUCGAUGAUUAUGGCAUUUGCAGUAAAUAUUUUGCAACUCUCGGUAAAAUACCGACGAAAUAUUUCCGUCUGUUAAGAUGUUGGUAAUUGUGGCAUUUCCAAUAAAUAUUUUUCAACUCUCUGUAAAAUACUGACGGAAUGUUUCCGUCUGGAAAUCCAUCGGUGAUAUUUUUUAUUUUUUUAAAAAAAAUAUAUAGAAUAAAUAAUAUAAAUUAAUAGUAAAAAAAACCAAUUAUGCAAAUAAAAUUGUAUUAAACAUCAUAAAAAAUAAAAAUAAAAAUAAAGUUAAAUAAUAUUCAUCCAAAUAUUCAUAACAAAUUUAAUGUGUUUCCAAAAAAAAAAAUUAAACUAGAACAAUGGCGAAGCAGGAUGAGGAGGAGGUGGUGGAGGCUGGUCGUUGCCGGGACGAAAUGGCCAAAAAGAAGGCGCACAUGUAUCAUCCUUUUGUGAUGUAAUUUUCAUGAGCAUUUAGCGGAGUUGUUCAUAAUUCACCGAGAGUUGCUCGUAUUUUUCGGUGAGAUGAGCUGUGUGUUGUUGCUAGGCCACGAUCUCCUUAGAUUGGGUGCUCGAUACUGAUUGAGAGCUCCCAACAGUUGAGAUAUUAUGGGCCGCUCACAAGUUCUCGGCCGUAGUGUUGGAGAGCCUGUACACCUGAUUUUUAUCGGGUCUACCAAACGAUCUUACCUCCAUCCACAAAUUCGGAUCGAAAUCCAGAUGGGUCGAAGGAUCGUUCCCAUAUCUCUCCCUCAACCGGCUAUUAUAGGUCUCCUGAAAAUAAAAAAAGAAAUCAUCAUAUUCAAUUCAAGAAACUGUUGCACCUUCUUUUGGCGGUCUUCACUUCGCACGUAUGUCUCUAGAAAUAGCUCCAUUGGGCUCGACUCACGUCCAAUAGACAUAGCCUGUAAGAAAAAAAAAUUAAUUAAGUAACAACAAAUUAAUUAACAAUAUAUUUCAUUUAUAUUAAUAUUACCAUCUGUUUUGCAUGUACAGCAAACAAAACGGAGCCGCCGUGUGAACCGGACUGUCGGUUCCGGUACCAGACUAUAUACAUUAAUAAACGUUGUCAUCAUUCAGGUGAUGCCUCUGCUAGAGAGGCAAUUAUACAUCAAGAAAUACUUGUAACGGGUGGUGAAUGAUUAAAUGAACUUUAGAAUUCUUUGCUUUGAUUACGUUCAAAAUGGCCCAAAGACCACAACUUGCUAUUAAUGGGUUGGGCUGAUGUGAAGUCAUGAUGGCCCAACUUAAAUUUACUCGAUAUAAAGAAACAUUCACAUAUAUUUAAAAUUCAAAUUUAAUAAUAAACGAUAAAGUAAACACGACUAUAUAUACAUUUUUAAUUUUUUUUUCAUAAGCAAUUGAUGUUGAUGUUGCUACUACAAAGACAAUUAUAAGUCAAUAAAUAGUUUUUUUUUAUUAACAUAGGUGUUCGGGCCAGCUUGCGCGUACCUCGACUGAUUCCACGGGCCUUGAAGUUAACGACCAUGUAAGCCUCUAGUGGCCCUGAGGUUUGUGGGACUCAAACUGGUGACCUCUAGGGAGCAUCGUGUGAACCGCUUAGACGUCACGUGCUCAGUAUAUUACGGUCAUAUUUCCCUUGGGAUGUUUGGCGGUUUGAAAUCCCUCCAAACUGUCACGUCAUUUCAGCCUUGUAGACCGUUAUCUCUCGUGUAUUUUUUGGCCUUUUUUGUGCUAUAUACCAAAAAUCACGCAACCUACUUUCAUGGUGAUAAAUUAGAUUUUAAAACAAAAAUGUUUUUUUAAAAAAUAUCAUAUUGUUUUCGAUGUUACCUAGUUGUUGCGUGAUUUUCCCACACCCUCCUCACAACAUUUUCAUGUACAUUUUUGAAAUUAAUCUAACAAAAUGGAGUUUGUUACUAAAUUAGUGAUUAAUGAUUUGCUGUGAAUCAAAUGAUUUUUUUUAAUGAUUUGUUAUAUCUAUAACAAAUGUCAAGAUGUUGUUUUUGUGUUAUUUAGGAAAACAAAUAUUGUGGAGUGGACUUGACAUGACCAAUCCACUUUACAAAUCUAAAUAACCGGUGAAAUAUAAUUUGGAUAAAAUAAUUGAAGAUAUUAUUUUGUAUAUAAAUAUUAAAACAACAACAUAUUGAAUUGACUCGGCUUAACUUGCUAAAUUCGUGACUCGAGUCAUAAGGCUAUGAUAGCUCCAUUGAAAAUAAUUUAAAAUAAAUUAUAAAACUCAAUUCUCAAUCAACGUCAUGUUAUAGGAUAUAAUUGAAAAUAAAAUUAAUUAAAAAAAAGACAAAAUAAAAAAUCACAGUCAACCUAAAUUAACUCAUCAAAUUCACGACCCGAGUCAUGAGACUAAAAUAACCUCAUAGAUAGCAAAUCAAAUCAAAUUACGAAGUCUAAUUCUUAAUCAACUCAAUGUUGAAAGAUGAAAUUUAAAAAAAAAUCAUUUAAAAAAUGAUUCAAAAAGUCAACUCAGGUUAAUUUAUCAAGUUCGUAACCCUAAUUAUAAGAUUAUAAUAACCUCUUAGAAAGAAAAUCAAAAUAAAUUAUAAAUUAUAUUCCCAAUAAAUCUAAUAUUAAAAGAUAAAAUUAAAAAAAAUCAAAUACCGUUUCCUUCUCUUUUAGUUUUUAUUAAGUAUUUUCGUCCAUAUACAUGUGGAUGGAAUUGCACUCAUAUUUUUCAUAGCUGGCUUAUUCAAUAAUGCACAGUAUUGGACACGUUCAUUAUUUGUUUUCUCUUAAUUAUGCGUAUGCGAACCUCCAUUAUUAGUUCACAUGCAAUGCUGCUAAGCAUGCUGGUGGCUAUAAAUAAGAGUGGCAGAGAAGAGGGAAUAACCAUCGUAAACACAAAUUAAUAUUUCCAACAUGAAGGCCUUUCUUAUCAUAGGCAUUCUUUUAGCUACCGUUGUCUUCUCUCCCUUGUCCACUUCCACUGCUCAGGAAUAUAAUUAAGGCCCAUGAAGGUGAACCCACCAUUUCUAUCUGCUAUCGAUUCCCCUGAUCUUCUGAUUUAAGAGAUAAGCAUGUUCGUAGUUCAUGUUUUUGUAAAUAUAUAUGUUAAGUAGUUCAUAUCUGUACUGUGUUUAUGUAUAAUACUGCAUCUAUGCCUGCUUUUGAAUGCAAGCAAAUAUUUGUUGCCAAAACUUUAUAUAUUUAAAUAGAUAUCUUACGAUCUUAUCUUAAUUGUAUACAAAACCUUGCUUCAAGAUUACCCAGCCAUGUUCAUGCUGCUCUCUUUUUACUUCCUUUGAUUUUUGGUCAUCGGGUUCCAUUUUCUUAUUUUCACUCCCUUUUUUUUGUACAUAUAAAUAUUACUUAAUUAAUAUUUACUGAGUUUGUGAUAAUUCUCAUAACACGUUAAACAUACACGUAAGUAAAUCUUGCAGGUUCAUAUGUGACAAAUGACCCUUCCAAGAUACCAUACCAAUGCCGUAGCCCUAAUGAUCCAAAAUGCAUCCCAAGGCGAAUCCCCGUACGGCCUUGUAAUCCUUACAAGCGAUAUUGUAAAAUCCCAUGAGAAUGGAAGUAAAGUUAAUUUUGUGCUUAAAAGUGUCGACCGACAGCUAGUAGUAUCUUUACUAACAUGGUAAUUUGAUAUGAGAACAUUUUAUGUAAGAAAAAUAAACUAUGAAGUUCUCAUAACAUGUCAACAACCAUAUAUUUGUUUUUUUUUUUUUUUGAGAGAUACAAUAUUUCAUUAAACGGCAGAGGCUGGCGGGGGAAAUAUAAUAAUACAACAACCAUAUAUUUGUAUCAUGAGAUUUUAAUUUCUGUCGAGUUUUAUCUCAUGAAAUUAACCAAAGCCACCUGAGAUCCCUUCUAGCGACCUCUUUUAACCAAAAUCAAAGAAUGUGUGUAGCUCGGUCAACCUGAAAUCCCAUCCGGCAAUUCCCUCGAACCAAAGCCACCUGAGAUCCCUUCUAGCGAUCUCUUUUAACAAAAACCAAAGAAUGUGUGUAGCUCGGUCAACCUGAAAUCCCAUCUAGCGAUUCCCUUUAACCAAAGCUAUAUAAGAUCCCUUCUGGCGACUUCUUUUAACCAAAACCAAAGAAAAAGUGUAAAAAAUGGUCUCAUUGUAAUGGGUGACCUACCCAGAUGGAAAGAAUGUGAAAAGCGGCCUCGUUAUAAUGGGUGACCUACCUAGAUGGAAAAAAAUAUGAAGUGCGGUCUCAUUGUAAUGGGUGACCUACCCAGAUAAAAAGAAUGUGAAGUGUGGUCUCAUUGUAAUAGGUGACCUACCUAGAUGGAAAAAAUAUGAAGUAUGGUCUCAUUGUAAUGGGUGACCUACCCAAAUGAAAAGUGUUGCUACCCAAUUUUUGACCCAUGUUUUGAUAAAUUUUCAGAAAAGUUCAAAAAUAGCGAAAAACAUUGAAAAUCCAAAAAAAUACGUUUUUAAUACAUUUGCAUCGUUUUUAGCAUUUUUAGCAUCGUCUCAAAAGAAUUUAAAUUUUCAAAGAUGUUUGGAACGCGUUCAACUUUUAACGCAUUAUUUUUAAAAUCAUUGAUUUUCCUCAUUGAGCCGAUGUUGAUAUUGCUCGUUUUCAAAAAAUACAAAAAAAAUAAGAAAAAUCAAAAUUUACAAAAAGAAAGAAGUUGAGGGACCAAGUUUGAAGACCUAGCAACAUAUUUGCCUAUAAAUAGAAGUUUUCAACACUUGCAUAAGGGUGGGGGGGCAAUUUUGACAACAUCAUAAAAAAUACAAAAAAACCUAACCCUAAACCCAUCUUUUUUUUCAAGAGGAGCCGCCCCCCACGUUUUUGGUUUUCCUCUUCAGCCGGUUCCCCAUCUUCUUCUCCUGGCCGGCCAAAGACUUCCUCUCCCCCCACAAACCAAGCCACCGCAGCUCUCCUUUUCCUUCCUUCUCCCACACCGCCGGUCAUCUCCCAUAGACGGCCACUUCCCCUCCAUUCAUCAACACAAAGCAGCCGUCUCCCUUCACUGCCUCCACACUGAUCCCCUCUUCUUCUCUCUCGGCCAACCACCGUUCUUCCCUCUCUCGGCCAACCCAGCUCCAGCAGCAAGACUUACGAACACGGCCGCGCCCACAGACCCGAUCUCCUCAGCACCGCCACCGGGCUCAUCCUUCAACCGACCUCCAACGGCGGCCCGAACACAACGGCAGCAAAAGACAGCCCUCCUCCAGCCGUUCCCCCAGCUUCAGCAGCCGGCAGAAUCGCACUGCCAGUAACCCAUCCUCAGCAAACCCCUUCAGCAACCGGUCCUCCUCCGAUUCAAACCAGUGCAGCAGAUCUAGACCGAGAUCCAGCCGCCAUCAGCGCCGACGAUGUCCAACAACCAGAUGUGCUACAGGGAUGAACUCUUGGGCAACAAACCGUGACAGACCCAAAGGAAUCGGAUCUAAGAAAAAUAAAACUAAAAUCGAUUGUGUUGUGCGUUUUCUGUUAUUGCAGGUAGUGGUGUCCCUCACAGCCGGCAGGGAAGGGAAGAGAAGAAGGAGGCGAUCCCGAUCCACCAGCUUGCUGGUCUUCGCCGGCGGCGGCGCGUGGACCCACGCGCCGCCGCUGUUCAGACGACACCAAUGCUGUGCAGCAUUGUUACCGAGGAUUUCUUUGUGUUUUUCUUGUAACUUUCAGAUGAUGUGUAUAUUUAGAUAUUAUUGUAUUUGAUUUAUUUUGAAUUUUUGUUAUUUGUUUUACAUGUAAAAAUUGUGUAUGUAAAAAACAAAAGAAGAAAAGGAAAGGAAAAGAAAAGGAAAAUAUAGUGAAAGUGUAUGGGUGUGUUUGUAUUUGUUUUAUGGAUGUUUUAUUUUUAUUUAAGAUAAAAUUGUAAAGAUUAAAGAAGAAUUUAAUAUUUUGAUUGGAUCACGGUCAAGAAUUAUUAACUUAUACGUAAGUUGUAUUUCUAAUAUCCGAUGAAAAGACAAUUAUUAAAAUUUCUUUAACACAUCAAAGUCACGAAGCAGCUUACCUCAGGUAGGGUGCGUUAGGGGUGCUAAUACCUUCCCUAACCACAACCAGUCCCUUACCCGUGAAUCUCUGACAAGACCAGUACAUCCGGGUUUCCUAGUAACCCUCAAUUAAAUACUAGGUGGCGACUCCAACGAACCAAUCAAAGCAAAACGAACAACGAAAAAAAUCGCCAGCCGAUGCCGCGCGGAAUUUGUGACGUGCGACAGAAUGGCGACUCCACUGGUGAAGGUACUGUUUCUGACAUUAUUGGACUAAGCUUUGUGUAUUUGAUAUGUUUAAAUUUUUGCAAUUUUAUCUCUUUUUUUCAAUAUUUGUUUCCAUGCAUUUUUAGAAUUGUUUCAUGCAUCACCUGUAUUUAUUUUUGAAAGCACACACGAGCUUUUAAGUUAGGUGGUGAAUUAGCGAUCUGCCCUAUGACUAUUGGUCAGGGUUCAGAUGCGUGAAAAACCGAACUCAUAUCUGAGUGCCUGCUUGGUAAUGGUGGGUAUAUGUACCUUAACUAUUUCUUGCAACGCCCCUAUACUGUCUUUACAAAGAUCGUCACUAGGCAGAUAUGAGACCCUUUUGAGACCAGGUAGAAAACCUACCCAUGUUCACAUAAUGAAUAGAACCUGCCUUUAGGAUGUGUGCUCCGUAUACAUUGUUUUGCAUAAGGGCAAACCCUUCUUGAAGCAUCUUGAACUCAAGACUUGUGGGUGACCCAAUGGCCGUAACUCAGAAAAUUUUCAUUGUAGAGUUUGGGCAAGAAUCAAGAUUCUUGUUUCAUCAUACAAGAGUUACGACCAUAUGUCACCUCUCGAAGGGCGAGUUCAUCAUAUAGUUUGCAUGUUCAUACAUUUAUCAUGCAUGUACCGGGAGGAAAAAUAGGUUCCCCCAUCUGAGCUUUGCUACACCUGAUUGAACAAAGAUGAUGGGAAAUGAAGAAAGGGGUCAAAGAGAAGCUCAUCAUCAAAGGUGAAGUAGCUAGACCCAGAUCUCCCUGAACAAGUGUUGAGCAUCAAAUGGAAAGGGAAUGUCUGCACAAUCUUUUGUGGGAACACUGCUUGUCCACGUCCAAAUGAAGCUGCACCUCUCCAUUUCAGUCCUGAACAACAACAGCAAUGUCUUCAGUCAGCAACUAAUGACAACUUUUGUUCUUGGUCAGCUGCCCUGUUAAUUGUUCAUCGCCUCCACAUCUUUCAAUGGCACCAAAUAACUGCUAGCCUUCUGUGCAUGGUGUGUUAGCCUUAUUUGAAGUUACCCCAACUGUGAGCUCAAUUCCAGUUCAACAGCACAAGAUGUAAAAUAAAAAAAAAUAAAAAAAUAAAAAAUAAAAAAAAACAAGAAAAAAAACCCCGAAAAAAAAAACAUGAUUCGACCCUGAACUUCUACGUUGCAGAGCUCUCUCUGUAGAGAUUUCUUUGUGGAUCUGCUAGUGGGGAACACAAGAGGGGGUGUAGUAGUUUCAUAUGCUUCAAAACUUUCUCUCACCAGUGGCACCAGCAAAACAUUGUAGUAGGCAGAAGGGUGAGACCUGGUCUGAAAAUGUUAGCAGUCAUCAAACUUCAAUGUGGCAGAGCUCUCUCUACAAAAAUCCGUUUAUGGCUCUGCAAGUUGGGAAUGCAAGAGGGGAUUUAUUAGGUGCAUAUGCUAUAAAAAUCUCUCAUCAGUUUCAGCACAAAGACAUUGUGGUAGGUUGAAGAGCCAAACCUGGUCUGAAAAACAUGAACAGACAUCAAACUUCUACGUUGCAGAGCUCUCUCUGUAGAGAUUCGUUUGUGGCUCUGCAAGUGGGAAAUGCAAGAGGGAAUGUAGUAUUUUCAUAUGCUACAAAAAAAUUUGCCCCAUCAAUUUCAGAACUGAAACACUGGAGUAGGCCGAAGAGUCAGACCUAGUCGGAAAAUGUGAGCAGUCGUCGAACUUUGACGUGGCAGAGCUCUCUCUACAAAAACCCGUUUAUGGCUCUGCAAGUGGGGAAUUCAAGAGGGGAUGUAGUAGUUUCAAAAGAUAUGAAAAUUUACCCCACCAGUUUCAGCAUCGAAACACUGUAGUAGGCAGAAAAGCCAGACUUGAGCUAGAAAACAGGAGCAAAUAUAGAACUUCAUCGUGGCAGAGCUCUCUCUACAGAAAUUUGUUUGUAGAUCUGCAAGUGGGGAAUGCAAGAAGGGAUGCAGUAGUUUCUGAUCAUCUAUAAUUUUCUCUCAUCGGUGUUAGCUUGAAAAUGCAAAAGUAGGGAAAAGAGACAGGCCUCGGCUGAAAAAUAGAAAGAAGAUUGAAACUUCAACAGAGCAGAGCUCCCUCUACAGGUGUCUGUUUGCUGCACCGUCAGUGAGGAAUCAAAGAGGAGACAAAGGAGUUUUAGAUUCAUCAGGUUCUCUUCCAGUUUUGAUAAUGUGUGAUUCCACACGUCGGUAAUGGCGAUGCCACAUGUUUCUAGGCACUGCCAAGAUUACCAAGCUGUUGAAAGGUUUCCGACAACCCUCAACCAACCACAACAACAUUGAAAUAUUGACAUGAAGUUGUGUGGAUUGCCAAAAGAAUUGAGCUAGCUAUCAAGAGAGGAAAGAUUGAAGGAUCUACCAUGGAUUCCAUAACAGUGAUGAGAGUUGAAUCAGAAGAUGACUCUCAAUUGAGAAACCUCAGUCAUUUUGCCUAGUCAGGUCUUGCCAUAACAUCAACUGCUCAAAUGUCUUUGCCAAGACUGACAUUUAUCUGCCACCCAAGUUGGACUACUAGCAUCUGUCAGAUUCCAGACUUUUUGCCUGACUCUGUUAAAUCCCAUGCAACCACCGUUUUCUAGGUGGUAUAAUCCAGACAAGAGAUGUGAUGUCAUGGUGGGGUCCUCAGCCAUUUCAAUUGAAUAAUUGCAAGAAUCGAGUCUGCAAAUUGGUGAGCAAAAGACGAGAGGAAUCUGUGAAGGAGCUUGUCAUUGAUCAUUUUGUCGCCAGAACAUCCUCAGAAUGACGAGUGAUCGAAAUUGCUCGGUAAACACAGAUAUUGCCAGAAUAGUUGAUCCAAGAAGGGUGUUGAACUGUCAAUCAUGUUGUUAUGGAAUUUUUGCCAUUCUGCAUUUUGUUUUGGGGUCACAUCUCAUCCUUGAACGAAACAUGUCUUUCCUUUGUCUUCCUGUUGUUUUGAAAUCAAGAGAUGCUUCUUUCAAAGGGUAUUUUGACAAAAAUAUUUUGUUGAUCAAACUCCAACAUACAAAAUUAAAGCUAGUCAAUCUUGGAGAUUAAAAGUGUUUUGAUUGCGGAAAUGACUUGAUGCUUGAAAAUGACAUGAGGUGACCAAACAAUUUUGAACUCAUACCUCUUGAAACUGAGCCACACAUCAUGUAGCUAAAUUUUAAGUAUGCAUAAUGACAUGUAGUGGAUUCAAUAGUUAUGGACUCGAAUCAUGACUCUUACAAGUUCUAAUCAUUACAAUAGAUGAGGUCAAAAUUUAUCGGUUCUAACCGACCUUGCUUGAAAUGAGAAAAGGCCAUUUUUGUUAUCCUUUCACAUUUCUUGAAAUAUUAUCCCUUGCGGUCCCCAUUUGAGCUUGAUAGAAAAUUUUUUCAAGAAAACCCUGACUAGGAUCACACCCUGCACUGGGGGCAAAUAAGAGAAGACAAAAGUGAAAGAGAAGGCUUAGAACAAAAGUUCAACGUUUGAGAGUGAGUUAAAAGAAAGAAGACCUAGACUGGGGGCGUGUUAGAAAACUAUGAGAAAUGCUAUGUGAAAGCCAUGACCUUUGGCAUCCAUGAUAAAGCCCUGAAGUUAUCAGAUGAUUGAGUUUGGUUAUUCAUCAAAGAAAAAGUUGGAUUUGCAUAUAACCUAUGUUAAGAGAAUUUUGAUAUUUAAGGUUAAUAAGGUUAUAUGUCAUUUCCUCUACAAAGACAACAAUAGAAAAAGAGUUGAUGAAUAGUUUGAUGUUGAUCCUAGGUCUUUGAAACCCUCAAACACCUUUUGAGCUUGUGAAAUCCCUUUCUUUCAUAGCCAUGAACCAUAGCCUACAUUACGUGCUCUUAAAAGCCCUUUUUAAUCAAGUAAACAAUUUGAACCGAUAAAUGGCGCUCUCAAAAACUUGAAGAGCUUUUCCAUAAGAGUCGUGGCUUCAUGGAUUAAGCUACUGGUUAUUAUGCAUGCUGAUAAAAUUGGUGUUAAAAACAAAAAAACAAUCUUUCUUGAUGAAUCCUCAAGUUUUGACUUGAGCCUUUUGUUUCUUGAAAUCCACAGAAGGUCACCUCAUCGCAGGCCAUCAAAAGAUAUACCUAAGAUCAAAGAUUAAAACUGACACAAAGAACCAUGAAAAAAGUCAUUUUAAACUUACAAUGGGUCAUUUCUGUUUUCAAAAUACAAGACAAUCAAAGGACUAUAUUGAAUAGUGUGUGUUGGGUCUUUGACCAAAAAGCUUGAUUUUCAAAAGAUCUUUUCCAAAACUGAUAUCUCUUUGAUUUCAUUUCAACAAUUAGACUCGAAUUGACAUGAUCUUUGAAAUAUGAGAGUUGAUUCCAGAACAAGAAAUAUUGUUAAACAACAAGAACAUCGACCAAAUCCUUGACAAGAAUGACAUCAACAUUUCUCGACACUCCUUGAAAAAUUGACCAUCUGGGGGCAAUACAGUGGAUCCUGAGAAGGAAAACAAGUAGUAUUCAGAUCAGCUGGGGGCAAAGAAAGAAUUGAACGAUGAGUUGGUGAAGUCCAUCAAAGUCAUUCCUGGCGAUCACAAAAGCCAUUUGGUUAUAGACAGGAGAACGAGCAUUCAAAUCAUUGCUGGGGGCAAUAUUGUUCAAAAACAGUUUGUGAUAUAGUGAAUUUCAGCAUCAAUUGAUGAGCAACGCUGCAUUUGAAGGAUAUUUUCAUAUCUUCAUCUUGGUUUAUCAUCUCCAACAUGGCUAUGACUUUUGAAUGAUGUUAUCGUAUAGUUGCAUUUGAAUGAAUGUUGGAAAGAUGCACCCACCAAGACUGACUGUGGGACCAUCUGCUUUGAAGCUCAAAUGCACACUUCACCGCAUGAAUACGGGUGAUGAACAUCAUUGAUGAUGCCACUGCAUUUCCUUUCAUGAUCUGAUUUGACAAGCUGAGAAGAAUCCAUGGAGAAGAGCAUUGAGCUUACAACGAUGAGCCCUUUUACUGCAAGGUAUGAGAUCCAUGUCUAGAUGACUUGACAGUUCCAUGAAGACUGAUGAUACUUUGAAGAGUAUUGUUUCAACUGGGGGGCAAGUUCAUGACCGAUUGACAAUCUAAAAGGAGGUUAAACACCAGAAAACCUCUUGAGGGGUGUUGGCAAAACACAUGCACCAAAUCAAAGGACAAUUCUUGAGAGAAUCUAGGAGAUGGAUGAUUUGUUCAACUCCUUCAUAAUGAAUCGAGCAACACCGCACUUGGGGGCAGAGUCAAGCUUGAUAAACAGCGAGAGCAGUAAUUGUUGUGGACAGCCCAGGAUGUGCACUGCACUUACAACUGAGGGGAUGGCUAGCACAUGAAUGAGUCAAUGCAUCGAAAGAACCAAUAAAGCUUUGGAAUGCAAACAAAGGCACCCUAUGACGAUGGAUCAUCAAAGGGGGGGCCUAUAUUUCACAUCAGGUAAGGAUGCAUGCAUGUCAUCUAACCUCAAAGCAUUGCACAUACUUGUGAUUUGUUACAGAAAGAUCCUCAAUGAAGUCCAGCAAGAUUGUGGACAAAGAAAGAAUCAUUGAGUUGAUAAUAACAGAGAAUCAUGGUUGUGAUCUUGAAACGGGAAGAAGAUGAGAUAAACCUUACUGUUAGGAAAAUCUCAAAGAAAUGAAAAGAUCAACCUUGCAAUCAGGAAGCAUCGAGUUUUCAAACCCUGCGAUCAAGAAUUAUCAAGAAGCACCAAGUUUUUCGGCCCUUCUUCUAUCAUCCCUUCAGGACUUCGCCAGGUAAGUCCCAUUUUUCACACUUGUCACAUCACAUCUUUCAUUUGGGUAGGUCACCCAUAACAAUGAGACCAUUUCACAUUUUUUCUAUCCUCCACAUGGGUAGGUCACCCAUAAUAAUGAGACCGCUUCAUAUUUUUCUCAUCUUCCAUCUGGGUAGGUCACCCAUUACAAUGAGACCGCUUCAUAUUUUUUCUAUCUUCCACCUGGGUAGGUCACCCAUAACAAUGAGACCACUUCAUAUUUUUUCUAUCUUCCACCUGGGUAGGUCACCCAUUAUAACGCGACCACUUCACAUUUUUUCUAUCUUCCACCUGGGUAGGUCACCCAUUAUAAUGAGACCGCACUUCACAUUCUUUCCAUUUGGGUAGGUCACCCAUCAUAAUGAGACCGUUUUCCACAUUAUUUUUCUUGGGUAGGUCACCCAUACAAUGAGACCAUCAUUUUUCUUGGGUUAGUCACCCAUACAAUGAGACCAUCAUUUUUCUUGGGUUCGUCACCCAUACAAUGAGACCAUCAUUUUUAUUGGGUUCGUCACCCAUACAAUGAGACCAUCAUUUUUCUUGGGUUCGUCACCCAUUACAAUGAGACCAUUUGUUCCACAUUCUCUGUUUUGGUUUAAUGAGGUCGCCAGAUGGGAUCUCAUGUAGCUUUGGUUAAAGGGAAUCGCCAGAUGGGAUUUCAGGUUGACCGAGUUACGUAACAUCUUUUAGUUUUGGUUUAAUGAGGUCGCCAGAUGGGAUCUCAUGUAGCUUUGGUUAAAGGGAAUUGCCAGAUGGGAUUUCAGGUUGACCGAGCUACCACACAUUUUUUAAGUUCCAGUUGAAUGAGGUCGCCAGAUGGGAUCUCAUGUAGCUUUGGUUAAAGGGAAUCGCCAGAUGGGAUUUCAGGUUGACCGAGCUACACACAUUUUUUUUAGUUCCAGUUGAAUGAGGUUGCCAGAUGGAAUCUCAUGUAGCUUUGGUUAAAGGGAAUCGCCAGAUGGGAUUUCAGGUUGACCGAGCUACCACAUUUUUUAGUCCCAAUUUAAUGAGGUCGCCAGAUGGGAUCUCAUGUAGCUUUGGUUAAAGGGAAUCGCCAGAUGGGAUUUCAGGUUGACCGAGCUACACACAUUUUUUUAGUUUUGGUUUAAUGAGGUUGCCAGAUGGGAUCUCAUGUUGGUUCUGGUUAAAGGGGAUCGCCGGACGGGAUCUCAGGUUAGCCCAACCACACACGAUAUUGGUUCUGGUUAAAGGGGACCGCCGGACGGGAUCUCAGGUUAGCCCAACCACACACAAGAUAUUGGUUCUGGUUAAAGGGGAUCGCCGGACGGGAUCUCAGGUUAGCCCAACCACACAGGAUUUUGGUUCUGGUUAAAGGGGAUCGCCGGACGGGAUCUCAGGUUAGCCCAACCACACACAGGAUAUUGGUUCUGGUUAAAGGGGAUCGCCGGACGGGAUCUCAGGUUAGCCCAACCACACAGGAUAUUGGUUCUGGUUAAAGGGGAUCGCCGGACGGGAUCUCAGGUUAGCCCAACCACACAGGAUAUUGGUUCUGGUUAAAGGGGAUCGCCGGACGGGAUCUCAGGUUAGCCCAACCACACACGAUGGUUCUGGUUAAAGGGGAUCGCUGGACGGGAUCUCAGGUUAGCCCAACCACGCAGAUUUUGGUUUUGAUUCAAAGAGAUCGCUUGAUGGGAUCUCAGAAAAAAAAGAAGAAAAAAAAAAGGAAAAAGAGCAAGGUCUUUAGAUGAGUGGAUAUUGAGCAAGUUAAGCAGACAAAAAGACAAGUUUUUCUUUACAAAGCUUACUAUGCAAAACAUUGAGGAGUUUUGCUUCGUAAGCAUUGUAAAGAGGGGGCAUCUGUUGCUACCCAAUUUUUGACCCAUGUUUUGAUAAAUUUUCAGAAAAGUUCAAAAAUAGCGAAAAACAUUGAAAAUCCAAAAAAAUACGUUUUUAAUACAUUUGCAUCGUUUUUAGCAUUUUUAGCAUCGUCUCAAAAGAAUUUAAAUUUUCAAAGAUGUUUGGAACGCGUUCAACUUUUAACGCAUUAUUUUUAAAAUCAUUGAUUUUCCUCAUUAAGCCGAUGUUGAUAUUGCUCGUUUUCAAAAAAUACAAAAAAAAAUAAGAAAAAUCAAAAUUUACAAAAAGAAAGAAGUUGAGGGACCAAGUUUGAAGACCUAGCAACAUAUUUGCCUAUAAAUAGAAGUUUUCAACACUUGCAUAAGGGUGGGGGGGCAAUUUUGACAACAUCAUAAAAAAUACAAAAAAACCUAACCCUAAACCCAUUUUUUUUUUCAAGAGGAGCCGCCCCCCACGUUUUUGGUUUUCCUCUUCAGCCGGUUCCCCGUCUUCUUCUCCUGGCCAGCCAAAGACUUCCUCUCCCCCCACAAACCAAGCCACCGCAGCUCUCCUUUUCCUUCCUUCUCCCACACCGCCGGUCAUCUCCCAUAGCCGGCCACUUCCCCUCCAUUCAUCAACACAAAGCAGCCGUCUCCCUUCACUGCCUCCACACUGAUCCCCUCUUCUUCUCUCUCGGCCAACCACCGUUCUUCCCUCUCUCGGCCAACCCAGCUCCAGCAGCAAGACUUACGAACACGGCCGCGCCCACAGACCCGAUCUCCUCAGCACCGCCACCGGGCUCAUCCUUCAACCGACCUCCAACGGCGGCCCGAACACAACGGCAGCAAAAGACAGCCCUCCUCCAGCCGUUCCCCCAGCUUCAGCAGCCGGCAGAAUCGCACUGCCAGUAACCCAUCCUCAGCAAACCCCUUCAGCAACCGGUCCUCCUCCGAUUCAAACCAGUGCAGCAGAUCUAGACCGAGAUCCAGCCGCCAUCAGCGCCGACGAUGUCCAACAACCAGAUGUGCUACAGGGAUGAACUCUUGGGCAACAAACCGUGACAGACCCAAAGGAAUCGGAUCUAAGAAAAAUAAAACUAAAAUCGACUGUGUUGUGCGUUUUCUGUUAUUGCAGGUAGUGGUGUCCCUCAUAGCCGGCAGGGAAGGGAAGAGAAGAAGAAGGCAAUCCCGAUCCACCAGCUUGCUGGUCUUCGCCGGCGGCGGCGCGUGGACCCACGCGCCGCCGCUGUUCAGACGACACCAAUGCUGUGCAGCACUGUUAGCUAGGAUUUCUUUGUGUUUUUCUUGUAACUUUCAGAUGAUGUGUAUAUUUAGAUAUUAUUGUAUUUGAUUUAUUUUGAAUUUUUGUUAUUUGUUUUACAUGUAAAAAUUGUGUAUGUAAAAAACAAAAGAAGAAAAGGAAAGGAAAAGAAAAAGAAAAUAUAGUGAAAGUGUAUGGGUGUGUUUGUAUUUGUUUUAUGGAUGUUUUAUUUUUAUUUAAGAUAAAAUUGUAAAGAUUAAAGAAGAAUUUAAUAUUUUGAUUGGAUCACGGUCAAGAAUUAUUAACUUAUACGUAAGUUGUAUUUCUAAUAUCCGAUGAAAAGACAAUUAUUAAAAUUUCUUUAACACAUCAAAGUCACGAAGCAGCUUACCUCAGGUAGGGUGCGUUAGGGGUGCUAAUACCUUCCCUAACCACAACCAGUCCCUUACCCGUGAAUCUCUGACAAGACCAGUACAUCCGGGUUUCCUAGUAACCCUCAAUUAAAUACUAGGUGGCGACUCCAACGAACCAAUCAAAGCAAAACGAACAACGAAAAAAAUCGCCAGCCGAUGCCGCGCGGAAUUUGUGGCGUGCGACAAAAAGAAUGUGAAGUGACAAGUGUGAAAAGAAUAGGACUUACCUGGCGAAGUCUUAAAGAGAUGACAGGAGAAGGGCUGGGAAACUUGGUGCUUCUUGAUAAUUCUCGAUCGCAGGGUUUGAAAACUCGAUACUUCCUGAUUGUAUGGUUGACCUGAUAAUUCCUGAUCGCAGGGUUGGAAAACUCGGGGCUUCCCAAUUGCAAGGUUGAUCUUUUCAUUUCUUUGAGAUUUUCCUAAUGGUAGGGUUCAUCUCAUCUUUUUUUUAUUCCAUGAUCAAAACCGAUUCUUUGUUAUCAUCAACGCAAUGCUUCUUUUUUUUUUCACAAUCUUGUUGGACCUCAUUGAGGAUUUUUCCUGUAACAAUUCAAAAACAAUUGUGCAAUGUUUUGAGGUUAGAUGACAUGCAUGCAUUCUUACCUGAUUUGUAAUAUAGGUCCCCUUUCUUUGAUGUUUUAUCGUCAUAAGGUGCCUUUGUUUGCAUUCCAAAGCCUUCUUUGUCCUUCUGAUCUACCGGCUUAUCUGUGUGCUAGUCAUCCACUCGGCUGUAAGUGUCUUGCCUAUCCUAGGCUUUCCGCGAUGAUUACUCAUCUCGUUGUUUAUAAAGCAUGAGUGUGCCCCCAAGUGUGGUGUUGCUUGAUUCAUCAUGAAUGAACUUAACUAAUCAUUCAUCUUCUGGAUUAUCUUGAGAAUUGUUCUCUCAUUGAUUGUGCAUAGCAUGCCAACACCCAUCAAGAUUGUCAAUCAGUCAUGAACUUGCCUCAAGUUGAAACAAUACCCUUCAAGUAUAUGCGAUCAUCAACCUUCAUGGAACUGCCAAGUCAUCCAGACAUGCAUCUCGUAGCUUGCAGUACAAGGCUCUUUGUUGAAUGCUCAAUGUUCUUCUCAAGGGAUUCCUCUCAGCUUGUUAAAUCAUAUCGUGAAAAGAAAUGCAUUGGCAUCAUCAAUGAUGUUUAAUUUAUCACCCAUAUUCAUGUAGUGAAGUGCGCAUUUGAUCUUCAAAACAGAUGGUCUCACAGUCAGUCCUGAUGGUGUGCAUCCUUUCAAUGUUCAUUCAAAUGCACUCAUACGAUAACAUCUAUUAGGAGUCAUAGCCAUGUUUCAGAGGGUAACCCAAGAUGAAGAUAUGAAGAUGUCCUUCAAGUGCAGCAUUGUUUUCAAUUGCUGCUGGAGUUCACUAGAUCAUGGAAUGUUUUUGAACAAUAUUGCCCCCGGUGUGAUCUGAAUGUGCUCGUUCAUUGAUUAUCUUUCUAUGAACCACAUUGUCCUUCGUUCACCGAUUCUUCAUUUAAUCAUCUUUCUUUGCCACCCAUCCGGUAGCCGUUCACCCCCUCUCUUUGCCCGAAGACAAACCAGAGCCUCCACAGAGAACCCACACAAACCUUCAGCCUCUCACCUGAUCUCCCUUCUCAUCACCAUUUUCCUUCAUUUUCACCUCUUCAGCUGGCCACACACCCGGCCAUAACUUCCUUCAUCUUCCCCAGCUCACCACCACAAGCCCCGAACCCAACAUUUUCCCUCUGCUCCCUUUUCCUUCUUCCCCUUCAACCAGCAGACCUAAUGCAUGCACCCAACAGCCACACAACACAGGUUCCCCUCCCACUCCAGCCUUCACCUAAAUCUCCAGCAGCGGUAGUUUCUGCCCAUAGCCGACAGACCCAGCUUUCUCUCCUUUAACUAACCUCCAACAACAGCCAACAGAUCCUCCCUUCUCCCCUCAGCCACUACCUUCUUCCUCCAGCUUCGUCCCACCCCAUCACUAGCAGUCCUCGGCUUGCUUCACCGCCGGUAAAAGGAGAAAGAGAGGAGAAGGGAGACGAAGCUUACUGGGGCCUCUGUUUGCCUAACCGAUGACCAUAGAAGAAAGAGGGGUCGAUGAUUUACCCGAUCCAGCGGGUGUCCGACCGCGUGAGUCGCCAGUGAGCCACUCCACACUCCACAGCAAACCGGGAAGAAGAAAGAAGACAGAAAAGAACAGAUCUAAAAAAGGGGAAAUCAGAAUAGAUCUGAACAGCAAUGGAGUAAAAUCAAUUGUUGCGUGUGUUCUCUUUUCUUGUUUUGCAGGUCACCGCCGAUGCAGGAGUGAAGAGGAGACUGUGGUUUUUUUUUCAGAUAAUAUUUCUAAUAUGUGCAGUCACGCAUGAUUUUUUUCUUUUAUUUUAUUCAAUCAAUUUAAUUUGUGUCUCUAUUUCUACUAUCAUUUUCUAGAAUAAAAAAAUUAUUUUAAUAAAUAAAUUUAGUAAACACAGUCGGGUAAAUAUCUCGUGUUUUGAAAUUAAAUAUCUUGAUGUACGUUCAAGGUUUGCGCUCAUGUAGAUACAAUUGCAUUCUUACUUUUCGAAGUUAUAAUUAACUCUAUUUUUUUGUGGUAGAUUCAAUAUGAGGUGGUAAGUUUUUUGAUAAUCAUGUGUGCCUUUGCGUAAAACGUUGUUACUAAUUAAUUGGGGAGGUGAAAUAGCAAAGGAAUUAAAGCACAUAACUGCAGUAAUCAUACUUUUUACAAUAAACCGGCAUCCGUUUACUAUGGUAUAUUACAUGCAUGCACUAAAUUAACCUAACACGCUAUGUUUUGCUUAGAGACCUCUGAAGGUGGAACCUGUCACCGUUAGUCAACCAGCUAGUCUCGGCCUUUUAUCGUCAUCCAUGCAUUUUUAAGCUUAACGUCCACGAUGAAAUUUCAGUGCAGUGUCAUAAUACCUUAGAAAAUGAUACCUCAAUUUUGACUUGUCAACUAUGUUUUGCUUAGAAACCUCUGAAGGUGGAGCCGGUCACCGUGAGUCAACAGCUAGUCUUCAGCUUUACUAUCGUCUUCCAAAUAUUUAAUAAAGCAUAUUAUUAUCUUCCAUCAUAUGUGGAUAGAAUCCACUCUUACUUUUCAAAGUUGGCUUAUUCAAUAAUGCGAAGUGUUUGAUACGUUCGUUAAUUAUCUUGGGCACGGGAGGAAUGGUUCCCUUCGAAUGCUGCUAAAAAUCAUGGUAGCUAUAAGUAAGAGCGGUGGAUAGGAGGAGAGCAUAACCUGUUAGUCACAUAGAUUUCCAAGAUGAAGGUCGCAUGCAUUCUCUUAGCUACCAUCGUCUUCUCUCCCCUGUCCACUUGCACUGCUCGAGUAUUGACCAAGCGAGGUGAGAUUUUAUUUCCAUCAUUAACUUCAGAAAAGCAGUUCAUUUUGUGUGUGUAAUCUCUGCAUGUGUACGCCGGCUUUUUUCAUGCACACAACUUUUUGUUAUAAAACUGAUGAGUCAACCUUUACCUUUACUUCCAGCAUUUUAAUUAACUAGAGAUAAUCAUUUCAUGUUAUAUGUUAUUUAAUUAAUCUGUCGUGGGCUAUCUUAUAAAAAAAUGAUUUUCAAAGGUGGUAACUCCAUUUAAAAGGUAAGAAGAAAACUAGGUCCUUUUCAAAGUCAUUGUAAGACCUAAUAUUGCUUGGGAUUUUCCGAAGGCUUUGUAGAAAAAGCCCUUAAUUCUAUUAAUUAAAAACCUUUCACCAUGUAUAUAUUUUGAUACUAGUUUAAUAAUUGCCAUGAUUCAAUUCGCUGUUAUCUUAACAAGCUAACGUGUGUAUACAUGUGUGCAAAUCUUUCAGCUAUACCCAGCCCAGGUCUUAACCGAGGCAAAGUUCCAUUCAAUUGCGGUAGGGGUAAGCGAUAUUGCGUACCUAGCCAACCACCAAAACGUUGCCCUCCUUACAAGCGUAAUUGUGGGCGGCGCCUUUAAGAUUAGAAGCAAGCAAAGUUGAGUGCUUAAAAGUAUGGAGAGCUUCUGCUGUCUUUAUCAAUAUGUAAAAUGAUGAGAACUAUUUAUGUGCGGAAAAUAAAUAAAAUAUCUCUAAGAACAUUACUAGAGUUCGGGUCCAUGGUAGCUAUGACUUCUAGAUUGUGUACUAGACGACCACUACGUAAAUGCAUGCAAAAACUAAUCAUGAGACUGAGAUCACAAAAUAACACUUGCAAGUAAAACGCAAAAUAAAAUUAUAGCUAAUAAAAUAAAAUAAAGAAAAUAAUUUUUUUUUAAUUAUUAUUAUCUUGGAAACUAAGUAAUGACAUAUUAAACCAGGAAAAUGCGCAAGCAAGCAGUGUAAGUCCUCUAAAUGCACACAAGUAAUCCAAACAUAAUGUUUCAAUUUUCCCACUAAUUUAACCAAGCUCCACAAUUAAUUAAGAGGAUUAGAUCUUCAAUGCUAAACAAGCUCAAAAUUAAGGUAAUUCAAUGUAAAGGCGGGCUAUAUAAUUUAGUUAUGGGCAAGCACAAAGAAUAAUAUCAAUGCUAAAUAUUGGUUAACAAGUUUAAAAGCAUACCAGGAAUGAUGAUUUUCAAUGGGUAAAAAUUCUGACUGUAUGAUGUGGCAGUGAAGGAUUACGUGGCAGCUGACAUGGUAGGAUAUGCUGGCGUGGCAGGAUACGCUGGCGUGGCGGGAUACGUUGCCUUGGCGGGAUCUGAUGACAUGGCAAGAACUGAUGUCGUGGCAGAUGACGUGGUGCUGACGUGGCUAGGGUAAUUAUUUUACCAGCUUCUGUUUCCUUCUCCUCUAUAUCCUUAGGUGUUGUUGCUGGCGGCGCACGCGUGACUGCUGAAGGCGAGGACCACCGCAGUCUGUUGAAGAUGGUGGUUGCCGCCGGUCGGUUCUACUGCUCUGUCGGUCGCUAAUGGUGGGAGGCGAUGAUGGUGUUGUGGACGGUUGCUGGCGCUGAGAAGGACGACACUGGCUGAGGCGCUGCCUUUGCUACUGUAAACCCGAAUCGAUGUUGGCUGUGAUGGGUGUUGUGGGUAGCGGCGUCUGGUGGUUUGUGGUUCUGCUUUGGCUGCUGAAGCCGCAGGUCUGUUGUGGUUCUGUGAAGGCGCCGCUGAAAUGGUUUGGUGUGAUCUAUCAGCGGCGUGGAGAAUGGCCUCCUGUAGGAGAAUCUGUCAUCGUGGGUCUUGGUGUGACCGGCGUUGAGGCAGAGUUUCCGGUCGAUGUUGAUGCAUGCUGUAAUCGACGUCUUCCAGAUUUGUUGAAUAUUGCAGCAGAGGGGAAGAUGAACAGUGUUUUUUGUGAUCAGAACAGUAGGUGUUUUUUUUUUUUGAACAGUGAAUUUUUUUUUUUUAAGAUCAACUGGAUCUAGGGUUUAGCAUAACAUUGUAGGUCAUUUAAUUGUAAGAACAAUUAAAACCCUAGCUCUAAUACCAAAUUUGAUGCGGAACAAUAAAUAAUAAAAUUAGAGCAAGCACAUAAAGAAGCUGUAGAAAAGAAAGAAGCUGAAGAAGAGAAGAAAGGGGAUUGGAGUUAUGCAAAGUCUAUAAUACUUUCAUUAAUCAUCAAAAAUUGUCUCUCAAGAUGACAGAAGAACAUAUAAAUAGUAAACCCUAAAACAUCCCGUUAUUGGGCUCGGCCCAUCAAAUCAAACUAUUUAGCAUAAAUAAUAAAAUAACAAUGAGCAGGCCCAAAUGAGCUAAAUAAAUAAAAUAACAAUGAAAUAGGCCCAAAUAGGCUUAGUCUCCCAACCAAAGCGUGACAGGUUGGGCCAUCCUAUAUCUUCUCUGUCCAUAUACUCGUGUAGUUUAUGGUGGGGUCUGGUGUCCCCACCACCAGCUUUUUUCAUGCACACAACUUUUUGUUAUAAAACUAAUGAGUCAACCUUUACCUUUACUUCCAGCAUUUUAAUUAACUAGAGAUAAUCAUUUCAUGUUAUAUGUUAUUUAAUUAAUCUGUCGUGGGCUAUCUUAUAAAAAAAUGAUUUUCAAAGGUGGUAACUCCAUUUAAAAGGUAAGAAGAAAACUAGGUCCUUUUCAAAGUCAUUGUAAGACCUAAUAUUGCUUGGGAUUUUCCGAAGGCUUUGUAGAAAAAGCCCUUAAUUCUAUUAAUUAAAAACUUUCACCAUUUAUUUUGAUACUAGUUUAAUAAUUGCCAUGAUUCAAUUCGCUGUUAUCUUAACAAGCUAACGUUUAUAUAUAUACGUGUGUGGAAAUCUUUCAGCUGUACACAGCCCACCUCUUAACCCUGGCAAAGUUCCAUUCAAUUGCGGUAGGGGUCAACGAUAUUGCGUACCUAGCCAACCACCAACAUCAACACCAUGUCUUCCUUACAAGCGUAAUUGUGGGCGGCGCCUUUAAGAUUAGAAGCAAGCAAAGUUGAGUGCUUAGAAGUAUGGAGAGCUUCUGCUGUCUUUAUCAAUAUGUAAAAUGAUGAGAACUAUUUAUGUGCGGAAAAUAAAUAAAGUUGAGUAUAUAAGGAUCCAGCUAGGCGAUAUUUAUGGAGUAACGUCGCCUACAAGUCUACAAUGGUACUAAGGA
rnacentral:lncRNA from 1 species